GGGAAAAUCUCUACGUACUGAUGUUGUGCACAUCCAAAUACAAGCAAUGUAAGUGACCUAAAUGCUACAUCUCAUACUGUUUCUGAAUUCUAAUACCAUUCCUGUGUAGUUGGAUACCCCAUAGGGCAAAGUUGAUGCUUUGUACAUCACUUCUGGACCUAUUUAUUAAUGUUGCCGUUAUCUGGGUUUCCAUGUACUUGAUAGAUGCAUUCCUUAUCUUUAUGUGUUCCAUCUAGGCAUAUAUGUUUCUGCCCAUAAAUGUAUUUAUGAGUUGGCUCCAUUUUUUUACUGCUUUUAUGUACCGUUUAAUCCCCUAAAAAUGGGCUAUACAUGCAUUUUAAAGAGUUCAAAUCUUCUAUAAACAUUAGCAUUGUCUUACCCCACUGCUCUCUGCCGUGCAGCGAGGAAGAUUUCAUCCUCAACCUCCCUCACGACCCCAGGUCCGACUACUUUCCAGUUUUGUUAUUUUUCUUCUUGGCCGCACUGAACAACAUGGCAACAUGGGUGUCAUGGCCACACACAUGCGUCUUGUUGCCCUCCUUAAAAUUCAAUUAGAUUAUCUACAAACAUGCAGCCAUGUUUAUUUAAGAUCCAAUUAGAUAAAUGUUGUUUAGUUUCCAUAUAGUUUCUAAUCAGAAAGGCCUCAUAUGUAGGUUGGGGACAUGGCGUGAAGAUAUGGUUUUGUGAUCUAUGGUCUUGAGUCAUCUGUUAGAUGGGUGAUAAUGGAAAUUUUCUUGACGGCAAACACGUGCAUAAGUUUUGUGAUAGUUAAACCUGUUUUAUGAGAGUUAAAGCUAUUUUUUGAGAGUUAAACAUGUGCAUACGAAUGGAAUUUUUUUAGAACUGGUCAAACUAUUUUUUUGUAAGAGUUAAAGCUGUUUUCUUGAGGACAAACCCGUGAAUAAGUCUCAUCUGUAUAGAUUAAUUAAUAGGACAGCAAUUUAAGUUUAUUGAAGCUCUUUAAGAAGCGAGGGUCUGCUUUGGUUUCUUGUUGUUUGCCUAUUCUCUUAAAAACAGUUGACUGGAUGCAGCCGAGGGUUAUACAUCAAUAAUUUGGGCAGUUGCAUAUGGAAUUUUCAAGUAAAGGAUUUCAGAAAUCUAAUAUGGCAUGCCUAUUUUUCAUGGAAAAAACGAAUGGUGCCUUAUUUACUAUUUAGUUUUUAAGCUAGACUAAUUUGACUACACGCUUCCUGAGGUGCCUUCUGUUUUUGAAUAGUCAUAGAGUGCUCCUGAUUACGAGAUGUUUCUUUGUCACUAUUUGAAUUUCUGCCUUGGGUGGCCUCUGUCUUGGUUUACAGCUCCAUAUGGCUACUUAUGUAAAACAUAUGUAGGUCCUGUUUGAACUGUUCUCAAAUAUGUUUACUACAGAAAAGUGGAAUAUGCAAAGUUUCUGUGUUGAUUAGGCAAAUACUUGCUUUGCCUUAAAGACUGUCCCCAUCUAUGUUCUAGGUUUUUUGGGUAUGAAUUCCAUAUUUCCCUGGAAUGGAUCAACACAUUUGCAUGCGAUUUUAGAAAAAUAUAUGUGAAUGCAUCUUUCUAAUAAAAGCAUUGCUUAAGAAAUACCCUUUUUCUGAAAUCAAAAUUGUUGUUGGUCUUCUGAUCACUUUCAUUGUCUAUCAGAUAGGCUAUGACUUCCAUAAGCUAGCAUCAUUGGGGUGAGGUCGUUGUGUUUAUUUUAUUUUCAAUGCCUUGCAAGUUAGUGGUUCCCAGAAGAUUGUAGCCUACCUUAUUAGCGUCGACUGGCAUAUUUAUCUUUCAUGUCAUUGCUUAACCAUGCCUGGAUGACUGCUAUAUUUAUACAUGCACAAACUGCUUAUUCCUUUGGUGCUUCCAGAUUAUCAAGGUAUGAGCAGAGCAGCGAGGGAUGAGAAAAGGUGUAACUUAUCUCAGACAUACAGAAAUGAAAAUAAAGCUAUGCACAGAGAAAAGGUGUAGAAUCGAUUGCUGGGCAUGAACUCCUGCAUGGACCACUUUGCUUUGCUUUUGUCACAUUAAAAUUAAUUAUAUUUAGCAAUUUUUGUGUCCACAGCACUAUAAUCCAUCCAUCAUUGUUGGUUCACCAUUCUAAAGGAAAGACUCAUAGAUGCCAUUAGACAAAGGUCAAAUCUUAGUGUACUUGAAUAUAUAGAUUUGUCUGAUUGUGUUGUAAUCUUAGUUUCCUUUUAUAUUUCUGUAUGAACCUACUAUUAUGUGUCAUUGUGUUGUAGUGUUGACCAUCUGCAGCAAGGGUUAGGCAAAUAUUUAUCCUGUAAAAUGAGUUACCGGUUCUUACCACGUGGUUGUUAUUUUAUUUUCAAUUUUUAUGCAUCACAUGAUUUUUUUAAAGUGAUCUUAAUUCAUGGUCCUUAGUUUACUGAUCGUUCGGCGGCUCUGUGUACCAAUAUAGUGGUGCAUCUAGGAGGAAGGGAUCUAGAGACAGCGAUGGGCAAAACAAUCCUGUGGAGGCAGCAAGAGGCAGUUCUCGACAAAUCACUAUUAAGGUGUUCUCUUUUGACCUGUUGAUUUUUCUGUCUCUCUGGUUUUGAUUUCCUGGUAUAAAAUUUACUAGAGAGAAAAGCAGCGCAAGGGUCCAAUGGAAGAAUUUGGUGAAGAACAAGGUCUCCAUCAUUUGGCGUCAAGGAAGGGAAGACCAUGUCAUCAUUUGGCCAGUCCAGGUAAUGCUCUCUACCUGAUGCACUAUUUAGGUCAUCAUGGUUUCAAUGCUUUUGGCUCGUCUUAAUGCUAAUAAGGAAUGUCGGGCUUACAAGUUUCAACCAUGUGCAACGAUUCCAAAGUUAUGUAGGCCAGAUUGUGUUAUUUUUUACUGAACACUUUGUUCUCCAGUGAGGUUACAAAUUCUAUAAUAUGUUGUGGCGGUAUGUACAUAUGGAAAUCCUAAUCUAGCUAAUUUGAUCGUGGGAAACAUGUUGUUAGUCUAUCUUCCAGGCCUGUUGUCACCUCUCAUUAUUUCUGCUAUAAUGUGAGCCAAUUAGAAACUGAUAUAAUGUGUUUUUCCUAAUAGAUCUCAUGCUGGUGUGUUUUGCAUUCUCAAAAAAUCAUGACAGGUCCCCAUGCCCCUGUAUCUGCCCUCGAAGCCGGGUUCCGCGAGCUAAGGUUGCAGGGGAGAAUGAACGUGCAAGUUUGCAGCAUCAAAUGUUUUUCUACAUUUGAUGGGUAGCUAAAUUAGUUUGAUUUCACGGAUGAUGGAGCCUUGCUGUGUGACGUAGUUCCUGGUGAAGAAAUAUUUGUUAGGUCUAUGUAUGUGUGUACUGGAGUUGGUGCAUCUCCAAGGAAGAACGAAACCCUUAUUCCUAUCUUAUCAUAUGCUACACUUAAAUGCAAAGUGUUAGCUAUGUUAACUGCUGUUUCAAUCCCUUGUUUGAAAAUGUGAUUGAUUACAAAUUGCGCAUGCUCAAGUAUAUAUUUGUAAAAAGAAGUCCUCCUUAAUUUUUGAUUAAAAAGGGUUUGGGUUGGCGCUUGAAGUGUUUGCUCAUAGCUAAAGUUACUACACAUUCAUGAUUUUAAAUGGGUAUUUGCGCACAUCUCACUGUAGAUAACAAGGCACCAUUUUUUUUAAUUGUGGACAAGAAGUCACCAUUCUUUUUUUAAAGGGUGUUAAAUUUGUCAUCAUAUGUGUUUGCCCACAACUAAACCAACUAAAUCAUGUAUUUUCUUUUCAACGUGUACAUGGAUUUAGCAUGCCUCUGCGCUAUUUGGCGCAACGGGUCCACUAGUAUAAAGAAAAAGCCGUGAUGAAGGCCGCUGCAGCAUGGCAGGAACGACGCGAGCAGGCAGCCUUCGGGACGAAGCUAUCGCAAGCAUUGCCGUCCUUUGGCCCGCGCCAGGCCUGUGACACUCUCAGAGCGAGAGCCGAGAGUAGGCUAAGGAUCAUGUGCCAUUGGACAGCCUUUCGUCCGGCCAUGACGUUUGGAUGCCGGGGCCAUUAUUCAGGCUCCAAAACUGCUCUCCUCAUCACCAUUGUCUUUCUCCCUAGUCAUAGUGAAGAGUAACUUAGAUUAGUGUCAUGCAUAUGACAGUGGUCUAUAUUACUAUCCUUAUAGUACAAAAUGUCAUAUAGAUAGUAACAUAUAUAGUUGUAUUUACUGGCUUGUAGACUCAAUUUUUUUUGAAAAACGCUAUGUGAUGGUAACAUAAUAUGUUACUCCAAACACCUUUCUUCUCAUUAACUAGUUGUCACAUAAGCAAACUUGUCUCGAGAUAUGUUAUGUUACUCCCGCUAUGACCAGCCUCAUAAGUUCAUGUCCCGUGUGUCUUCACUUCUUCACUCGCCGACCCCUUCUGUUCCUUCAACGCUCCCACCCCAUGUCUCAUGAGAAGCACUACCAGCCUAUAUUAGUCAACCAACACGCUACAUGGAUCAAAGGGGAAAUAUCUGGUGCGCUCGUUCAUUACAUGCGCCCAAGCUGAGCUCCUGUUUUUAAAAACCCAUUUAAAUGUUUUAUUGUUUGCGGAUUUUCAUAAAAGAUGUGUAUUCAAUCCUAAAAAUCGUAUCCGAAUUACACGUCAAGAAAAAUAAGAGCCAAAUCCAGAUGUUUGCAGUGUCGUUUUUUGCUUUUGUAUUUUUCAUGACACCAUUAGUGCUAGAUUUUUUUUAACACGGCAUAGAUGCAUACGAACAUAGAUUCACCAUUAUGGACGACGCACAGACAUCCUACCCCUAUGAGCAUAUCCAAGAAACUAGGCUGGCUCGUCAUUUUAAGAUUGAUGAAGUCUUCACCGACGUUUUCGAAGUAGACAAGAAUGUCAUAUUUCACAAAAACUUCCUGAAGGCCUGAAAUAACUUAAGAAAAAUGCAAGCAUUGGCGUCAAGUCCAGGGCUUCAACUUGAAUAGACUGGGAUACCACUUCCUCCCUACCAUCUAAACACAAAUUGGUUCACAAUGUCCGAUUUUCUUGACAACGCUCAACAUGAAGUUUUCAUUUUCUUUCUCCAUGUGUGAAAUGAAUUUUGAUCUGAAGUUUGUAGGGGUCGCAAACAGAUGUCUUAUGACAUCCAUGAAAUGUUUCAGAAUUUUCUGAAACGUUUAAAUUAUACUUUUUUAGUGCAGGAGGAUGGUGGCUUGUGAUGAAUGAGGGCAUUGGAUACUCACCCUCUCAUGGAUUAGAACCGACACAUAAUUUACAUGUUCGCACGCGCACAAGUUACAUGAAGCAACCAACACAAAUGCAAUGGAGAGGAAACACAAUGGAUGUGUGCGUGUGUGAGUGUGACACGACUCAUUAGUAAUGGCGCAUUGUAAACGAAGGCAACAUUGUCGAUUCUGGCACGGGCAAUACAAGGGGGUGACACUCCCUGGCAGCUCCGAGUAAAUGGUACACCUUGCUUUCAUAGGCAAUACUCGAGGAGUAUUCAAAAACUUUAUGCAUGUGUCUUUUUUUGAGGAAUACAUAUGUUACUUUGUCCCUUACUCCCUCAUUUGAGUAAAGAAUUUUGGAAAAAUGUCCACGGUGAAAAAUAAGACUGUCAAUUGAUGCAUAGACGGACGCUUUACAAGGAGAGUAGUAAGCUAAAUGUCGAAUUCUGAGACUCUUUUCUCCUAAGAAAAUUCAAGUGGAGUCCAAGUAGUGGCAAACUGGAACGAAAGUGUCAUUCUGCUGGCGAGCUCAAAUGCUCCCUCCUGAAUAGUAAAAUCAAAAUAAAUAAGAAUCACAUUAAAAAAAUUGUCCAGAACACUAACGAAUUUUCUAUAUACAUGCAAAUUUCUUGUUGAGUAUUUGUUAGAACAUUCUUCACAGAUUUUAUUUUUUUUGGAUUGAAUAUUUAACUUCUCAACCAUCCUCAUGCAAUUUUUUUUUGUCCAGAACACUAACGAAUUUUCUAUAUGAAUGUUUAUUGAGUAUUUGUUAGUGUUUAUGAGGGAGCAUUUGAGUUUGGGAGCAGAAACUCCAUAUCCCAAACUAGAAUACUUCUUUUUUUUCCCUCAUGGUUUGUUUCAAUUCAAAAGAUGAACUGAGACGACGAAAUUAACAUAAGAUUUUUUGAAACCGCCAGAAAUGACAAUUUAGGGAAAGACACUGAGAAAUUUGAAUGGUGAUACCACUUAAUCACCCCAUAGGUCACUGAAUAUCAGACAACGAGUCUCGUAGCAAGGAAACAGAUCACUCGUGUGUUUGGUAGGGUGCAUGAGAGCAAAAAUUCCCUUCUCGGCCCAUUUUUGGGUGUUUCGUAGAAUGCAUGAAGGGUGCAUGAGUCCACACUAGUUUAAUACAAUACACUAGAAGGGUAUGCAUGAAAAUAGGUGCUGAGAUGAGCAUGCACAAGACAACUAUGAUGAAAUAAUAAUGCAACCAAUGAAGCAAACACACACAGAGUAGCGGAAGCAAGAAAAAGAUCCGCGGUGCGCCUCAUGUCCUCCGUCUCGCUCUCCUGCUAUCCUUCCAGCGCUCGAAACUCCUCUGGGUGAGUCCAUUCUUCGGGGCUGAUCCAAACAGGCACCAAGACAGACGGGCAAGCCAAAUUUUUGAUAGGGUCGGCAUUGGUCCAAACAGCCCGUGUCACUUUUGUACACUCGGCCAAGUAUUUCUUUUCUUUUGUUGCGCACAUGACUCGUCGGUCUCUUUUCCCACAGACAAGUCGAUCAGCAGCAAAUCUCUGGCCCCUGCAACUCGUUCUCGACAAUCCCUAGGGUAGAGUUUAGAGUAGAGCGGUGGCACCUCGGACAACACCUUGCACACACCUCACGUAUUAUCAGGCCAACUCCACAGCGCGACCUUAUCCUGUCCGGCAUCAUCCGUUUAGAGUAAAAGGUAUAAAAAAGGCGGUCCAACGCGCGGGAGCAAACGGACUUUUAUCCGUUUUGUGUCCGCUUUCGACCCAUCCGCUGCCCAAGUUUACGCCGUUUUUGGGGUGAAACGAACACCACACGGAUACGCGGGUCGUCUGCGCGUGUCCUUUCCUGGCACACACGUCAGUGGCACAAGACGGGCCUUUUUCUAUCCGCCCCCUCCCUCCCUCCGGCCGCAUCCCCUCCACUCUUCCCCACUCUUCCCGUCGCUGCCGCCGCCGCCACCGCUGCUGCCAUUGCAGCCGUGCAGUUUGGACGCGAGCUCGCCCAACCCCUUCCCCUCGGCGCCGCCGAGCUACCCAACCACGGCCACCUGGUUUGCGCACCCGCCGGCCGGUUUUGGGGCGGAUCUGGUCGGUCUUGAGCUCGGCCGGCUGUGGGAGGCCGGGCCGCGCCAUGGACUGGCCGGGCACCUCGCCGGAAGGCCCUGGCAGGGCCGCAAGGCCGCAUGCAGGCAGUGGCUCCUCCUCUAGCCGCUCGGAUCUGCACCGUCGGCGGUCCGCCGGCAGAUACACGAACGGCAGUCGGUCGGGCUCGGUGCUUGCCCAAAAGCUCGCCGGCGCACCGUUGCCACUCAUUAAGUGCGAUCACUGCCCAAGGAUGGUCGUGCGCCACGUGUCUAAAAUGACGGAACAUCCCGGAUGGGUGUUCAUCAAGUGCUUAAACGAUGGGGUAUGUGCUUUUUUUAGCUUCGGUUUGUGCUCUAGAUUUAACUAGUUGUGCUAAUUUCAAAUUUUGUUGUGUAGAACGGAUGCAAGUUUUGGUAUUGGGAAGAAGAGUACAUCGAUAUAUUGAUAGAGCAAAAUUUAGUACAUGUUCGUGCACUUUUAGCUAGCAUAGAGGCUGUAAAUGAGAUAAGUGCACUUGAUGCUAGAUUAGAGGCUAGACACGAGACUAGGUGUGAGGAGGAAGCAACAUCGACUUCCGGCUUGAAGAAGAAAGGAGGAUGCCAGAUCGAGCCUUCUGGCUUGAAGAAGAAAGGAGGAUGCCAGAUCGACCCUCCUCCACAGAUCAACAACGAGUGCAUCGAGAAGGCCCUAACCCAAUUCAAGGGAGUAGUUAUGGAAAUUAAGUAUCUUCUAAAAUGUAUUCUUUUGGUUCUUGUUUUCUUUGGCCUUGCUUUACUAGUUAAAAUGUGAUGAUGCAUUUUUUAUGUAUCAAAAAUGAAUGAUGAAAUAAAGUUAAGGACUUACAAAGAAAUAAUACGCGGACAAGAUGCGGCAGGGAUGCGUCCGCGCGGUGGGCGCACCGCCACCGCAUUCCAAAACAGACUCGGAUAUGAUCUCAAAUUCCUACCCAAAGCAACAAAAACAGAAUAAAACGGACGUCCGUUUAAGGCCGCGCGGUGGAGUUGGCCUUGUCUACAUCUACAUGCAUACAAGCGCAUGCGCAUACAAAUAGUACCCUUCUUUUGCGUGAAUCAACCAGCAGACAUGCCUAGCAGAACGAGCUGGGCUACGGGCUACGGCCAGAGUCUACAUCAGUCGGGUGCAAAAAGGGGCAAAGCCAGUAAAUGUGACGCAUGCCGCUGCAGCAGGGUACGAGUGGGCAGCCUUCGAGACGAAGAUAUUGCCAGCAUUGCCGUCCAUCGGGUACGGCUGACCUGAGGAUCAUGUGCCAUUCAGCCAUUGGCCAGCCUUUCGUCGGGCCAUGACGUUUGGAUGGCAGGGCCAUUAUUCAGGCUCGGGAAGUGCUCCCCUCCUGGCCUCCUCACCAUUGUGUUUUUUCUCUUGCGAGGUCCUCACCAUUGUAUUUCUUCUCUCCUCGAAGUUCAUUACAUGCUCCCAAGUGCUCCCCUCGAAGUUCAUGCCUCGUGCCCUCACUUCGUCACCGACCCCCGCUGUGUUCAACGCUCCCACCCAUGUCUCCUGAGAAGCACCACUGUAUGGAUAUCUCGUUCAUUACAUGCUCCCAAGCUGAGCUCCUGUAUUAAAAAAAAAUCGAUUUAAAUGUUUCACAAAUGUUUUUAUUAUUUUGUGGAUUUUUACUACAGUCCGAAAAAUCAUAUCCGAAUUUGACUAAACGUACAUUGCUAGAAGGCCUGAAAAAUGCGAGCGGAGGUGUCAACUCUAGGACUUCAACUCUGAUGGACUGAAUAUACCAUUGUCCUCCUAAUCCAAUCACAUGUAGGGUCACAAUGUUGAAUUUUCUUGACAAUGGUCUAGUAUGGAUUUCUCUUCCUUUUUCUUCAUGUGUGAAAUGAAUUUUGAUCUCAAGUUUCUAAGGGUUGCAGACAUAUGUCUUGCGACAUCCAUGCAAUGUUUCAGAAUUUUCCGAAAUAUUUAAAUUGAUUUAUUUAAUGCAGGAGGAUGGUUGCUUGUGAUGAACGGGAGCAUUUGAUACUCGUCCUCUGAUGGAUCGAACCGACACAUAAUUUGCAUGUACGCACGCACGUUGUGUGUGUGUGUGACUUGACUUGUUAGUAAUGGCGUGUUGUAGGUGAAGGCAGCAUUAUCGAUUCUGGCACGGGCAAUACAAGGGGGUGACACUCCCUGGCAUAAUUGAGGAAUAUUCAAAAACUUUAGGCAUGUGUCUUUUUUUAGAAAAAGAAAACAAACAUACCUUUUUUUUUGAGGAAUGCAUAUGUUACUUUGUCCCUUACUCCCUCAUUUGAGUAAUGCAUUUUGGGAAAACGUCGACGGUGAAAAAUAAUACUUCCUCCUUCCAUCUAUAUAAGGCCUAACCCCAAAUUUCAUUUUUCCAUCCAUACAAGGCUAAACGAGCUAACCAAUGCAUCUCCCACUGUAUAGAUGGAAGGAGGGAAUAGGUCGUCGGAAGUGGAUUAAGAGCACUCGGCGACGCAGCCCUCUGGAAUCACCGCCGCUCACCUACUAGCUCGGGAUCAGCGCCACCUUUUACAAAAUGUUUUGUUCGUGUGAAUACAAAUCCAACGCGUAGAAACAAACAGUUCAUACCUGUGCUUAUAAUGACGGAUGGAAAGUGUGUGAGGUUUGGUUGUGUAAGGUGAUAAUAAAUGACUCUGCACUCAUUUAAUAUGUCUGCAAUUUCGUGGACAAAAAACUUGGUGGUCUUUUGGUUUGUGGGAUUUGACAUGGUAAAAGGUGUGUUGAGGUAAAAUAGUGCACGAGAGAGGGUUGGAAGUUGACGUGGCUGCAGUAAAAAUGUCCGAUGUACGUGGUAGGAUUCGUACGACCAUGUGCAUGGAAGGGUCAUAUGAAAAAACCUAAUGAAUAUCAUCAUUGGUGGCUAGAUUGAUGAAAACAUUAUUAAGAUUAGCAAUAAUAGAGAUUACAUAGUAUUUGUUGGUGAGGGAGUCCUGAAUUAGGGGGUGUUCGGGUAGUCGGACUAUACCUCCAGCCGGACUCCUGGACUAUGAAGAUACAAGAUUGAAGACUUCGUCCCGUGUCCGGAUGGGACUUUCCUUGGCGUGGAAGGCAAGCUUGGCGAUGCGGAUAUUCAAGAUCUCCUACCAUUGUAAUCGACUCUAUGUAACCCUAACCCUAUCCGGUGUCUAUAUAAACCGGAGGGUUGUAGUCCGUAGGCAAUCAACUCCAUAUACAACAAUCAUACCGUAGGCUAGCUUCUAGGGUUUAGCCCCCUUAAUCUCGUGGUAGAUCUACUCUUGUACUACCCAUAUCAUCAAUAUUAAUCAAGCAGGACGUAGGGUUUUACCUCCAUCAAGAGGGCCCGAACCUGGGUAAAACAUCGUGUUCCCUGCCUCCUGUUACCAUCCGGCCUAGACGCACAGUUCGGGACCCCCUACCCGAGAUCCGCCGGUUUUGACACCGACAUUGGUGCUUUCAUUGAGAGUUCCUCUGUGUCGUCGCCUUUAGGCCCGAUGGCUCCUUUGAUCAUCAACAACGAUACGGUCCAGGGUGAGAAUUUUCUCCCCGGACAGAUCUUCGUCUUCGGCGGCUUCGCUCUGCGGGCCAAUUCGCUCGGCCACCUGGAGCAGAUCGAAAGUUACGCCCCUGGCCAUCAAGUCAGGUUUGGAAGCUUAAACUACACGGCUGACAUCCGCGGAGACUUGAUCUUCGACGGGUUCGAGCCACGGCCAAGCGCGCCGCACUAUCUCGAGGGGCAUGAUCUAGCUCUGCCUCCGGACAGUGUCCUGGAGGCCGCACACGCAUUGGUUCCGACCCCUAACUCGGAGCCUAUUGCGCCAAUCGAGGAUGAGCGGCUGGACGUCACCUCGGGGGCUGCGAUCCCGAAAGCGAUUGAGCCGAACGCUAGCCCCGCACUCUGCACGACCUGUGACUCCGAGGACCCGGACUCCUCCCCGGACUCCGAACCCCCCGCGCCCCUGCCAAUUGAAUCCGAUUGGGCGCCGAUAAUGGAGUUCACCGCCGCAGACAUCUUUCAGCAUUCGCCUUUUGGCGACAUCCUGAAUUCUCUUAAGUCUCUCUCUUUAUCAGGAGAGCCCUGGCCGGACUACGGUCAGCAAGGGUGGGAUACGGACGAUGAGGAAAUUCAAAGCCCACCCACCACCCACUUUGUAGCCACUGUCGACGAUCUAACCGACAUGCUUGACUUCAGCUCCGAAGACAUCGACGGCAUAGACGACGAUGUAGGAGACGAACGGGAACCAGCACCUGUAGGGCGCUGGAAGGCCACCUCGUCAUAUGACAUAUAUAUAAUGGAUACUCCAAAAGAUGGAGAUGGCGAUGGAACAGUGGGGGAUGACGCCCCCAAGAAACAGCCGAAGUGCCGGCGUCAGCGGCGCCGCUCUAAAUCCCGCCAAAGUAAAAACGGUGAUUCCGGCACGGGAGAUAAUACUACCCCGGAUAGCGCCGAAGAACACCCACCUCAGCAAGAUUCGGCACAGGAAAAUGGAGAAGCCAGCCCUCAUGAGAGAGCGGCAGACCAAGAGGUCAAGGAUGGUAACUAUACGCCUCCCUCCGAAGACGAGGCACGCCUCGAUGAUGACGAAUUCGUCAUACCAUCAGACCCCGCCGAACAAGAGCGUUUUAAACGCAGGCUUUUAGCCACGGCAAUCAGCCUCAAGAAAAAGCAGCAACAACUUAGAGCUGCCCAAGAUUUGCUAGCUGACAGAUGGACCGAAGUCCUUGCGGCCGAAGAGUAUGAACUCGAACGCCCCUCCAAGAGUUACCCGAAGCGCAGGCCGCUACCCCGAUCAGAGGAGGAAGCACCUACAUCACCAGCGCAUGACAUGGCAGACCGGCCAUCUCGCGGCCGCGACAGAGAGGCCUCUCGGACCUCCACCCAAGCCAUGCCCCGACGCCGCUCAACUAAGGCACGGGAAAAUGCGCCCGACCUACGAGACAUACUGGAGGGUAAGGCAAGACAAACAAGAUCGAUCUACGGAUCGUGCAGGCACCCUACGGCAUGUGACAAUGAUCUUCACGCCGGAUACAACAAAUCCGGCCGGGCCGAACACAACAGACAUAGCUCUUCCGAGCUGCGUCGUGAUAUAGCCUAGUACAGAGGCGCCGCACACCCGCUAUGCUUCACGAAUGAAGUAAUGGAUCAUAAAAUCCCAGAGGGUUUCAAACCCGUAAACAUCGGAUCAUACGAUGGCACAAUAGAUCCGGCGGUAUGGAUCGAGGAUUAUCUCCUUCACAUCCACAUGGCACGCGGAGAUGAUCUACACGCCAUCAAAUACCUCCCGCUCAAACUUAAAGGACCGGCCCGGCAUUGGCUUAACAGCUUGCCAGCAGACUCAAUCGGUUCUUGGGAGGACCUGGAAGCCGCAUUCCUCGAUAACUUCCAGGGCACUUACGUGCGACCGCCGGAUGCUGACGACUUAAGCCACAUAAUUCAGCAGCCAGAGGAAUCGUCCAGACAAUUCUGGACAUGGUUCCUAACAAAGAAAAACCAGAUAGUCGACUGUCCGGACGCAGAGGCCCUAGCAACCUUCAAGCAUAACAUCCGCGAUGAGUGGCUUGCCCGACACCUGGGACAUGAAAAGCCGAAAUCCAUGGCAUCCCUCACGACACUCAUGACCCGCUUUUGCGCGGGAGAAGACAGCUGACUAGCUCGCAGUAACAACUUAUCAAAGAACCCUGGUAAUUCGGAUACCAAGGACAAAAGUGGCAGGACACGUCGGAAUAAGCAAAAACGCCGCGUUAACAGCGACAGCAAUGAAGACACGGCAGUCAACGCAGGAUUCAAAGGCUAUAAAUCCGGUCAGUGGAAAAAGCCAUUCAAAAAGAAUACUCACGGCCCGUCCAGUUUGGACCGAAUACUCGAUCGCUUGUGCCAGAUACAUGGCACCCCCGAAAGGCCAGCCAAUUACACUAACAGGGAUUGUUGGGUGUUCAAGCAGGCAGGCAAGUUAAGGGCCGAAAACAGAGACAAGGGGCGGCACAGCGUCGACGAGGAGCCCAAGCCGCCGAACAACAAUGGAUAGAAGGGCUUUCCCCCACAAGUGCAGACGGUGAACAUGAUAUAUGCAACCCAUAUUCUCAAGCGGGAGCGGAAGCGUGCGCUACGGGACGUAUACGCGAUAGAGCCAGUCGCCCCAAAGUUCAACCCAUGGUCCCCCUGCCCGAUCACUUUUGAUCGAAGGGACCAUCCCACUAGUAUCCGUCAUGGCGGCUUCGCCGCAUUGGUUCUCGACCCAAUCAUCGACGGAUUUCAUCUCACAAGAGUCCUCAUGGACGGCGGCAGUAGCCUGAACCUGCUUUAUCAGGAUACAAUGCGGAAAAUGGGCAUUGAUCCCUCAAGGAUUAAGCCCACAAGAAUGACCUUUAAAGGCGUUAUACCAGGUGUAGAAGCCAACUGUACAGGCUCAGUAACACUUGACGUGGUCUUCGGAUCCCCGGACAAUUUCCGAAGCGAAGAGUUAAUAUUCGAUAUAGUCCCGUUUCGCAGUGGCUAUCAUGCCCUGCUCGGACGAACCGCAUUCGCAAAGUUCAAUGCGGUGCCGCACUACGCAUAUCUCAAGCUCAAGAUGCCAGGCCCUCGAGGAGUAAUUACGGUCAACGGAAACACCGAACGCUCCCUCCGUACGGAGGAGCAUACGGCGGCUCUCGUAGGGGAGGUACAAAGUAGCCUUCUCAGGCAAUUCUACAGUCCGGCCAUUAAAAAGCCAGACACUGCCAAGCGCGCCCGGAGUAACCCACAGCAGGACCGCCUGGCACACUCUAAGCAAGCGUAGCAAUGCGGCCCCAACCCCAGCUUUCGCGACAUAGUGAAACCAGUACCUCGCGUACAUAACUAUGCCCUUGAAAUACCAUGGGCAUAGGGGAAGGGGCACAAUAACGGCAUGCCCAAAAUACGGCUUAAAACGUACUAGGGGCUGCCGGAUUCUUUUUUUUCUAAUUUUUUCUUCCUUUCAGGACUCCAUACUUCGGACGACCUGUUCGGCAAUUCGCCUGCCGCACAAACGAUGCAAGAUCCAGGGAGACAGACAAGCCAUGCCGCAUUAUGGAACUGCCAGGUGGUCUCUGUUACGAGCGGUAUACCUGUUUUAAAUACAAUUCUGCGGCCUGCCCCUGGUCAGGACAUACUGAAUAGUCCAAUGUCUUUUGCUUACCGCACUAUUUGCAUCGUUCGACUUUGAUAAAUAGCCUCUCUAUAGACAAUGCUUAGCUUCUUGUCUAUUUUUUGCAUUAUCCUCUUUUCACAUAUAUGUUUAUUAAAUGACAUGAUUGCACCCGUACACCAUGGUACGACAAACACGCCAGGGGCUUCAGUACCCCUCAUUAUGGUGUGAGAAGUCCGUACACUUUCACAAGUGCGGCACCCCGAACUUAUAGCACUAUAUGCAUCAGCUUCGAAUCAUGAUUUGGGUCAAUAGUUGGGUUUGCCCGGCUCCUAUGUUUUGGUGCCUUACGUUCCGCUAUAUCGGCUAAGGUAGCACUAGGAGAACCACUGCGAUUGUGCCCCGGUUCAGCUGGGUUAAGCACCUCAGUGGAGAAAGUUAAAACUGACUGUCAUGAUGAGGCGAGAGACCGGUCGUUGUUCGAGAGGUUUUUCGAGUCCCUAAAGACUUAUGCCGCUUCGAGCGAGGAGCUGGCUUUGUCCGGCCAAGGCGUGGAUAGCGCCCCGAACUCGGUCUUCCGAGUUAGGGGCUUUGCCGAAAUUUAAAAUUAUAGAGUUCUAUGGCUAAGUGAGAGUGUUCAAGCAUUAUAGUCUGAUUGCCUGGUUCGUUGUGCUGAGCGCCUCCCUUGAAGGACCCAACUAUGGGAAAAAGAGCGCUCAGAUUUAUCCCGAACACCCCAGCACUAGCGGCAUGGGGGCAGAAGCCGACGACCGGCCAUCUCUCAAUUUUUUGAUAAACGGCCGCACAUAAAGUAAUAUUUUAAAUUCAAUAAGCAUUGCUUAGCGCAUAUGAACAAGUUUUCAACGCACAGGAUAAACACGAGCGAGUUCAUUCAAAAAUCACAUCCUUGGUACAUUCAUCCGCCACAAGGCGGGCACCUGCAAGAACAUCCUUGUAGUAGUUCUCGGGCUUGCGAUGCUCCUUUCCCGGCGGCGGCCCGUCCUUCACAAGCUUCUCACCGUCCAGCUUACCCCAGUGCACCUUCGCACGGGCAAGGGCCGGACGGGCACCUUCGAUGCAGACGGAGCGCUUGAUGACCUCGAGCCUCGGACAGGCCUCCACCAGCCGCCGCACGAGUCCGAAAUAGCUGCCACAGCCAAACUAUGAGGCCCUUCAUGGCCUGUUUGGCCGCCUUGUGGAGCUCGACCAGCUGUUUCAGCUGGUCGCUCAAAGGCACAGGGUGUCCGGCCUCAGAAUACUGAGACCAGAACACCUUCUCCGUCGAGCUGCCCUCUUCAGCUCGGUAGAAUGCGGCGGCGGCGGAUACGCUGCGGGGAAGAUCUGCGAAUGCCCCUGGAGAGCUCUUGAUUCGGGUAAGUAACAAGUAGUUUACUUUUAUAUUUCUGCUUUGCAUAAAGAAUGCCUUACCUGCUGCUAUCUUCCUCAUCUCCUCCAACUCUUGGAGGGCCUUUUGGGCUUCGGCCUUGGCAGACUUGGCAGUCUCAAGGGCCGUCGCGAGCUCGGAUGCUUGCGCCUUUGACUCAAGCUCCAAACUCUCAUAUUUUUUCAUAAGAGCCUGAAGCUCUUGCUGUACCUCGCCGACCUGAACCCCAAGUCUGUCUCGCUCGGUGCGCUCCAUGGCCGUUUUCUUUUCGGCCUCAGACAUCGCCUGCUUAAGGGUCGCCACCUCAGUCGUGGCCCCUACAAUAAGCAGUACAAUCCCGUUAUUUUUUCUUUUUGCAAUCGCGCCUUUUUAUAGGCACUUUUUCUGUAAGGUAUUUCUUACCUUCUUUCUCCUCGAGCUGCCGCUUGGCAAGGCCGAGCUCUUGCUCGGUCCGCUCGAGGUCCUGCUUCAGGACACCCACCUCCGCAGUCAAUGCGGCGGUGGAUAGCAGUGAAGCCUGCAUACGCAUAUUGACUCUUUUUGUUAGACUCCUGCGAAAUUUAAUAGAUCCUCUAUUCGGCUUUUCUUUCCGAACGCCAAACAGAGCAUCAGGGGCUACUGUCUAUGCGGUAAUAUUUUUACAUAUUUUUACUUACCUCGAAGCCUGUUAGAAGGCUAGCGCAAGCUUCAAUCAGUCCGCUCUUGGCGGACUGAACCUUCUGGAUCACCGUACUCAUAAUAGUAUGGUGCCCCUCGUCGAUGGAGGCGCCGUCAAGCACCUCCAGCAGAUUGUCGGGCACCUCCGGUUGGACGGAGGCCGCCGGCUUAGAAGGCUUGCUCCUCUUGGAAGGAGUUCGCCUACCGCGGUCUGGAACUGUGGAAGAUUCCGGCAUGGUGUCCGGCACAAAGCCGGACUUGGAGCCCUGGGGGCCUUAUCCCCUUCACUCCUGGAGUCCGGGAGGUUGCCCUGCGGCUCCUCCGGGACCACCUCCUCCUGCCCCGGAGCUUGUCGCAACGCCACUUCGGCGCCGUCUGCAGUGCGGGUGGAGACAGCGGGCGGAACUGAGUUCACGUCCGAUGAGUCCAAGGAGCCGCCCGACGAUUCGUCGAAUUCGGCCCGGGGCAGACUGCAUAAUUACAUUCGACAUUAGGAAAAGCUGUGCAACAAAGGAACAUCAUGAGUUAUUCUGAUAUCCGAACUUACGAUUUCGCCGGACGCUUGGCCCUGUUUGGCCACUCCUCUUUGCCCUCUUCGGUGUUGGGGGCGUAGUCCGGCGAAGGGGUCUUCCUUUUUCUAGACCCCUCGGCCUCCCCCGUUGGGGCGGCCUUCCUCUUCUCUCCUCCCUCCGCUGGGGGGGGGAGAGUUUUCUUCUUCCUCCUCCUCGUUUUCGCGGGAGGAGGGCGUCUCGGACUCGUCAGAUGACGAGUCCGACAUCACCACGUUACGGGCACUCUUUCGAGUCCUCGUGGUCUUCUUCUUCUUGGCCUUCUUCUCCGACACCACAUAAGGCGCCGGAACCAGCAGCUUCACUAGUAGAGCUGGGGCUGGGUCUUCGGGCAGCGGAGCCAGACAGUUAAUCGGUCCGGAUAUCACCCGCCAAGCCUGUCAAAGGUAAGGGAGUUGAGAUCCCGCAUAGAGUCAAACUAUGAAGAAAGCUUAACAUCCUGUAAAAGGUGAAGAUAGCUCACCUCGCUAGCGUGACGCUACGAUCUGUAUCCGCGGUCCUCGGAAGCGGAUGCGGGAGCCUCGGCGCCCUUGAAUAGCACCUUCCAGGCAUCUUCGUACGUCGUGUCGAAGAGCCUGCUAAGGGUUUGGUGCUACGCCGGGUCGAACUCCCACAGAUUAAAAUCCCGUUGUUGGCACGGGAGGAUCCGGCGGACGAGCAUAACCUGGAUUACAUUAACAAGCCGGAUUGGCUUGUUCACCAGGGACUGGAUGCAUGUUUGUAAUCCGGUCACCUCUUUUUCGUCACCCCACGACAGGCCCGUCUCUUUCCAGGACAUAAGCCGCGUGGGGGUCCGGAUCGGAACUCGGGGGCUGCGGUCCAUUUCGGAUCGCGUGGCUCGGUGAUGUAAAACUACCCGGAUUGCCACCCCUUUAGGGUCUCCACAAAAGAGCCCUCGAACCAUAGGACGUUGGCCAUCUUGCCCGCCAUGGCGCCUCCGCACUCCGCCUGGCUGCCGCGCACCACCUUGGGCUUGACGUUGAAGGUCUUGAGCCAGAGGCCGAAAUGAGGGCGGACGCGGAGGAAAGCCUCGCACACGACGAUAAACUCCGAGAUGUUGAGGAUGAAGUUCGGGGCCAGAUCGUGGAAAUCCAGGCCGUAAUAGAACAUGAGCCCCUGGACAAAUGGGUGGAGUGGAAAACCCAGUCCGCGGAGGAAGUGGGGGAGAAAUACUACCCUCUCAUGGGGCCUUGGGGUGGGGAGAAGCUGCCCCUCUUCGGGAAGCCGGUGCGCGAUGUCCUUGGACAGGUAUCCGGCCUUCCUUAGCUUCUUGAUUUUGUCCUCCGUGGCGGAGGAGACCAUCUACUUGCCUCCCGCUCUGGACAUUGCUGGAGAAGGUUGAGGUGGGAAGUGCGGGCUUGGGCGCUGGAGCUCGGGUGCGCAGGAGAUGGAUAGGCAAAGGAGGAAGAAGGCGUAGGUAAAAAGGUGGAUCCUUGUCCCCUUAUAUGGGCGGAUGCGGUUGUGCGUCCCCACCUGCCUAGUUAAACUCCCUUGCCUCCCAAGCGCCGUGAUAAAUGGCACGGUUGGGUUACCCACGUCCGUAUUGAUGAGAAUCCCGUAAAAGGAGGGUACACGAUCUCUGCUUUGACAAGACGUGCCAAGGAAACCGCCUCGCAAAACACGCUGAGGUGGAAAAGUGAAAACGAUUUGAGUGAAGGACUUGGCUGUAGUGUGAUGACGCACUGCGGAAUACAUCAGCAGAUUUGAUUUGUGUUAAUAUUAUUCUCUCUAUGACAAUAUGUGGAAGCUUAUUUUGCAGAGCUGGACACUACUCUUUGUGUUUACAAUCUUCUAUGAAGGACUUGGAGGAGGAACCCGCCUUGCAAUGCCGAAGACAAUUUGCGCGCCGGACUCGUCGUCAUUGAAGCCUGGUUCAGGGGCUACUGAGGGAGUCCUGGAUUAGGGGGUGUUCGGGUAGCCGGACUAUACCUUCAGCCGGACUCCUGGACUAUGAAGAUACAAGAUUGAAGACUUCGUCCCGUGUCCGGAUGAGACUUUCCUUAGCGUGGAAGGCAAUCUUGGCGAUGCGGAUAUUCAAGAUCUCCUACUAUUGUAACCGACUCUAUGUAGCCCUAACCCUAUCCGGUGUCUAUAUAAACUGGAGGGUUGUAGUCCGUAGGCAAUCAACUCCAUAUACAACAAUCAUACCGUAGGCUAGCUUCUAGGGUUUAGCCUCCUUGAUCUCAUGGUAGAUCUACUCUUGUACUACCCAUAUCAUCAAUAUUAAUCAAGCAGGACGUAGGGUUUUACCUCCAUCAAGAGGGCCCGAACCUGGGUAAAACAUCGUGUUCCCUGCCUUCUGUUACCAUCCGGCCUAGACGCACAGUUCGGGACCCUCUACCCGAGAUCCGCCGGUUUUGACACCGACAGUUGGCCAUUGUCUGUCAGUUUAUGACAGAUGACAUUAAUGCCCUAGGUUAGAUACAAAUCAAUCUAGACUUAACCUUGCAACAUGGUAUAACUAUUUUGUAAUACUGAUGUGGUAACAUGGCCUGGAUGUGCUGACUAGCAGGGUGAUGACGAUGCGGUGGAAUUUCCUGUCUACGGUAACAUGAAAUGGAUGGAAGAGGCUGGUGCAUGCAUUAACAUGAAAUAGGUGGUUGGGCGUUGGUAGUUGAGUUCAACCUCUGUGAUAAGGACAGAGACUUUGCUCUCCGGGGACAGAAGCGCGUGGACCUCAUUUUUGAUAUACGGAACAGUGGAAAGCGCAUACGAUCUGAAAAUGUUAUGAAUACAGUGGGGCUACUUUAGUGUGUGCGGAUCCCAAGACGCCUGCAUGGUCAGGAUUCCGAUAAGCGUCGGCGCCGAGUGCUACUAUGCAAUUUCAAUAGGUCGCCGCUUUAAAAUGAGAAUAGUAAACUAAAUGUCGAAUUUUGAGACUCUUUUCUCCUCUAAAAUCCAAGUGGUGUCCAAGUAGUGGCAAACUGGGACGAAAUAGAUUUAAGAACGUUUUCCUUCACCAAAAAUCUCACGUAUGUAGACAGUUCAUGAAUGUUUGUUGACAAAAUAUAUCAGAUUUGCUAGAUUUGUCACUAUUUUUUUACUGUUUAUGAGGGAGCAUUUGAGUUUGCGAGUAGAAAUUCCAUGUCCCUUCAUGGUUAGUUUCAAUUCAAAAGACUAAUUGAGACGACGAAAUUAACAUAAGCUUUCUUAAACUGCCAGAGAUGACAAUUAGUAGGUUUUCUUAGUUUAUGGAAAGAUAUUGAGAAAUUUGAAUGGUGAUGUCGGCGAAGUCUCGUGGCUCCCGCAAGAUUCCCGGCAGUGGCGAACACACGCUGGUGGGCACCAAGUGGCCACGGGCGGCAGGUGGAGCGUCCGAAGAAGGGGGACGGCCCUCCUCGCCGUUGGCCUCGUCCGGGCUACCUUUCUUCCCGCACAACGGCGAUGACCCUGGCUCUGUUUUCACCUUCUUUGCCGAUGCCGACGCUUGCCGGGCCAUCUUCUCCGCCAGCAUGGUUUUCAUCAUGUCGUAGACGGAGGGAUCCAUCCCUUUGGAAUCGGUAGCAGCAGGAGUAUAAGAAGGCGGUGGCUGUGGUGACAGCGACUCCGGCACCGGAGAUAUCAUGGCGGCGGAAAGAUUGCUGCUGCAGAGAUACGCCCCCAGAUCAACGGGGGAGCCUCCGUGAGCGCGCAGCAGCUUCGCGGCCAAUUUCUUGUCCUCGGCAGAGAGCACGGGGUCCAUGAGCGAAAUCUUGGACGGCUCGCCCCACUCCACAGAGCAAGGCCAAGGCGCCGGCGACGAGAGGAAGAAGAACGCGUGCUUCCAAUCCUUGAUCUCAUGCGGCAAACCCGUGAAGCGCAGGCCGGAGGUGUCUUUAGAUCGGAAAUAGUACCAGCCUCUGCGCUUAAGGUUGAGGACGACCAGCCGGAAGAAAUGGCGAAAAACGGCCAGCAGCGGCAGCGACACGCCGGCGAGGUGGCAGAGCACCACGAAGCCCGCCAUGGUGCGCCAGCCGUUGGGCGCGAGCUGCGUCGGGGCGAGGCCGAAGUGGGCGAGCACCUCGCGGAAGAAGGGGUGCAGCGGGACCCGCAACCCGGCCUCCAGCGCGCCCACGUACACGCAGACGGCGCCCGGCGGCGGGGACGAGCUCGCGCGCAGGUCGCCGGCGGGGCGCGCGGCGUAGCGAUCCUUGGGGACGCCGUAUUUCUCGCACACCGCGUCGACCUCGUCCUGCGUGCACAGAAACGAGACGUAGUCCUCCGCGUCGGCGCGCCUCGGGGGGACGACGGCAGCGGCACUUAUCCCAUGUAAUCAUUCUUUUAUCUAUAGCCAUCGGACAACUUUAUGAAGCAAUGCUGCAGCAGAGUACUAUGCUAGGUGGAUGCACUAUAUUCCUACUAGUUCUCUCUCCGACACACUAGUAUAUGGAUUUUAUUUUCAAUCUUAUAAACUUUAAACAAAUAUAUUUUUAAAAUAAAUAUAGGAUGAAUAAUCUGUAUGAAUGUGUGUCUUUCUUUCAAUGAUAUGUCCGAAACAAAUUCAAUAUUUAAUAUUUUUGCCAGUUUUGAAUUUUGAGUUUUUGAAACACAGUGAAACAUGUGCAAAAAUAGAUUAUUACAUGAUGAUGGUUUUCACGUGGAUAUGUAACUACGUUUGUUUUCUUGCACACAAUAGUAAGUUUAAUAACAAUGAAAAAUAACGUCUACAAAUUGGCAUAAAACAAGGCUAACAAUCAUUGUUUUUAUUGUUUCAUCAACUUUUAAAAUUCAUAUUUUAAAAAAAGAUCUCAUCGCCAGGAACGGAAAUAUGUAAGAUCAUAAAUAAACAAAAUUAUUUAAAUAUGAGACUGAACUUAAAAUGCAUCAGUGGAUUGAGGAGAGAGAGGGAGAAUCUAGGGGGGCUGUAGGGGAUAGGAUGGAGUAGGUGUGCUCGCUGUCAUAAUAUAGGUUAUGUUGUUCCAUGCACGGGAUCUCCCGUGCAUGGUAGAAAAACCAGUCUCAACUCUAAACAGAUAGUUCUGAUUUUUUUGCAUGCAGAAGAAAGAGAUAGAGUGCAUGCGGAGAAACAAACCUGCCCAACUGGGCCGUGCCCGUUAGCACGAGCGCUACGGGCUCUUUGGAGCCCCAGGAGCAAGGAGCCGAGCUUGAAAGCGAGUUCGAGGGGGGGCGCGAUGGUGAGACGAGCUAGAGGGGGGAACAUGAGCACAGGGGAAGAGAGGAGGCGUAGGGGCUCACCGCGAGGCACACGUAGGCCUGGCGAGCGCUUAGUAGCUGCAGUGUCGCGACAAUCGAUGGUGAACGACGGCGGCGACCCGAGGAAGAAAAGGAAGCGGGCGGCGGUCUUGGAGGUCCUCGGCGUUGCCACGAUGGUGUAGACAGGGCCGCGGAGCACGACGGUUCUUCAGGGCAGGGUCCCAGGCGACACCUAGCACGGUGGGUGCGCGGGCAAGCUUGGCCAUGGCGACGGGUGUGUCGGAUCCGGCGGAUCUGGCGAGGCAGAGAGGGGCAAGAACUUGCACCAUUAUCAGAGUUGUAAGUUAAGCCACUGCCACGAAAAGUUUGGGGUUUAAAUAAAAUAGUUUAUAUUUAUUAUAAAAAAUCAUUUAAAUUAUUGUUUUGGCCCUUGUUCUAUUUAUUUUAGGGCAUUUAAACACUUUAUAAAAUGUCGGUUCCACCAUGGAAUUUAUCCAGUGAUUAUUUGCAACACUUUUAACAUUUUUUUCAUGUUUAUGAAUUUCUUUAUUUCACUUAUAAUUUGAAUUUGAAAACAAGUGGGAUUUGAAAUGAGAUUUGGAUCAAAAGGAGAUCAAGCAUGUGAUGGCCUGGCUUAUUAGGGAUGAUAGACUACUCAUAUCAAUAAGGAAUUCCUUUUUUUCCGGAGACUAUCGGACAGAACUCUAAAGUUAAGCGUGCUUAGUUUGGAGUAGUGUCAGGAUGGGUGAUCGACCGGGAAGUUGCUCCCGAGUGCGCAUGAGUGAGGACAAAGUGCGCAGAAAAGAUUAGUAUUGAUCUGUGGGGCCAGUCUAGAUCCCGCCAGGAGUAGCGACCAUCGGCGGAUGUGUCCGGGGCGUUACAAGUUGGUAUCAGAGCCGACCCUCGCGGUUACACGGAUGGUUGCGGACAGGUGCGUGGUCAUGUUGUUCAUGACGUUUGUGACCCGUCGUGGCACACGGCAUGGCAUAUGUACUGGACUGGAAGCACAGACGUAUGUGCCAAGAAGGAACGUUCCUGUGGCCCGACGAGGGCGUCGGUUACUCUGAGUGGGGGUGUAUGUGACGGCCUGGCUUAUUAGGGAUGAUAGACUACUCAUAUCAAUAAGGAAUUCCUUCUUUUCCGGGAGCCCAUCGGACAUAACUCCAAAGUUAAGCGUGCUCAGCUUGGAGUAGUGUCGGGAUAGGUGACCGACCGGAAAAUUGCUUACGGGUGCGCAUGAGAGAGGACAAAGUGCACAGAAAAGACAAGUAUUAAUCUGUGGGGCCAGUCUAGAUCCCGCCAGGAGUAACGACCACCGGCGGGUGUGUCCGGGACAUUACAAAGCACUAUUGAGCAAAUGACUUAGAUUAAUCAUGCAGGGUUACUGUAGCUCAUUACACCAUGAGUGUUACACAAUCUACGCACAGCGGAAAGGUAGACGCAAACGUAACCGCGGGGUAGUGGAGUACGCUUCCGUGCUCCUUUCAUAGCAUUGUCACGAAGAACAUCUCACGGGUUUCUCUCUCUACCUUCGAGUACAAGCGCGCUAACUACGGUUCGAUACACCGCAACAUGCUAUUUAGGUUAGAUAUAUCUAUGAGGAGUUAACUACAAUGUGAUGCACCACAACUGUGGCGAAACCAAUGUACAAACGUUGUGUUCAAGUGAUCCCAACGAAUUUUCUCGGCCAGCUAGAUAUACAUAUAGGUAUGUGUUUGCUUGACUUGAAACCAAUCAAAAGCCUAGGAUGACCCCACCGAACAAUGCGAUGCGGACAACUAGACAAAAAGGCCCAAAAGCCCACAAUCAAAUGACUAUGUAUAUGCCUAAAUGAUGACUUGAUUAGUCACAUAUGUUUUUUUUUGCGUAUUGUGCAAUACCGCACAAUCCGUCGCUAUCUUACCCAUUUUGGUGUGCUCUUGUUGGGGCACGUCACAUAUGUUGUUGUACAGGCACAGCAGCGGCAUGCCACAUAUGCCUCGUCUCUUGAUAGUUGGUAUUUCCAACUUGCAUCUCUCUCAUGUUUGUGUAUAGCUCGGCUGACAAAGGCCAAGGGUUAGCAAAUAGUCGCAUAUUCACAACGGCAAGCCGAUAAUUGUAGCCUAAAAUUUGAUAACUAAUAUUGCCACAUGUCCUUGUUAUGCAUGUUCUAUCCAGCCUAAUAACCUAGUGUGAUAAUGAAUAAUUGUUUGCCUAUUUUUUUAGUUGUCUUUUCAUGAACUUUGAUUGAUCUAUGCUAUGGAAUGUAUUAUUAAAAGAGAAAUUGGACACCGGAUCUUGUAAUGACGCAGGCACGUCAAGGUUACCCAUUAGAAGUAGGCAAACUGUAUCAAAUGUCAUUGCAGCUAGUCUUCAAGCUCGGUGUGCUUGGGGAUUUUCUCGGGCCCUGGUGGUAGCCCGUUAAAUCCUACCGCCGCCAUGUAGGACAGUAGUGAAAAGGCCAUUUCCGGGGCAAAAGUUUUGAAUCAAGGUUAAAUGGUUUAGCACUUGGACCAGAAGUUCAAAAUAGUGAUCUUGAUGAAAAAGGUCAAACCCUCGGUUCAAAACAGACUUAUCCCGACUGGGCAGCGCGCGGGCCUCGUCUCCUUCCUUCACACGCGCGGAGCUGCUCCGUCGUGAAGUCCUGUCAGCAAUGUUGGGUGCUCUAGUUAUCCUUUAAUUUUUUCUGUUCUCACAUGACUCGUUCCAAUCCCAAAGAGAAUGGGCAGCAAAUCUUUUGCUUCGUUUGCAGACAUAUCACACGCACCACAGUUGCACUGGAUGUCUGCAGAAAAUCUUCCUGCAUACACACAUGCCUACGAGCCCCAUAUGCUACACGCAGAAAAGAUACACCAGUAGAGAGCAAGAAGUAAAUGCGAGGCACGUGUUGGACACAAUACAUAAUUUGUCAUUAAUUUAAUUCCUUUACCUAGUACGUACAAGAGCAGGUUAAACAGGCAAAUGGUUUUCUUCAUAAGCAUGCAGUAUAGAUUCACAAAGGAGCAGAUUGAUAGCACCCAUCCUUGUAUAAUUAGCAUGCAAAGGAAAACAUCACGAAACCAGCGAGAACCAUCUACAAUACUAGUGACGGCAGAGUAGCAAUACAGACAAAUUAACAUAAAGAUACUGAAUCUACCGAACACACACGACAUGGCUGAAAACACUAGCAGCAGGAACAAAAAGACAGUCUAAAGCACUAGAUAAACCUGAUGGAGAAUCGGCUAGAGCAUGGACAUAUUUAUCUUGUACUAGUAAUGAUCAAAUGCAACUUACAGUCUAGACGUCGGUGCACUUGGUGUUCGUGGAUGGAGUUUGUCGGAGACGAUCUCGUAGAGGAAGCAGCGGUGGCGGAGACGAUGUCGACGAGGACGUCGAGGAAGCAGUGGUCGCCGGAGACGAUGUUGUCGAGGACGUCGACGAAGCAGCCCUCGCCGAAGAUGAUGAUGUCGAGGACGUCGAAGGAGCGGUCGCGCGGACGCUGCCCAGAAAACUCUAGACCGCCCCCAUGCAGGGUCGAAGAAUGCGGCCGGAGUCACGGAGACACCGCUCGCCGGGCUGCCGUUGCACGACGGACAGCACGGCCGGCUUCGUUCCGACGGCGCUCAGCACUUGUGAUAUGUGAGGAAGGGGAUGAAGAUGUGUUGUCUAUUUCUCCCGAUGCUCUCUACCAUUUAUAGAGAUCAGGAAGGAAGCAGUCCAACGAGCAACGUUUCAAUGAAACGUCUUGCCGAGCGAAGCGCGGUGCACUCGUUGGAACCAGGAGAAUCGGGAGGAACAACAGGAUAAUGCUCAUGUCCUAGCAGAGGACUCGGGAAGGAGUUGCAGCUUGCCAAACGGCCAGCAACGUGUGUGCAUGAAGUUUCAGUUUGUUACGUGACAGGAUAUGCCCAAAGCAUCAGACUUGGAAUUCUCUGAACCGAUGCAUUAUUUCCAACAGUCCCCACCAAUUCCAAUGUCAGGUGCCAGAGCUAGAAGAAAUAGAGAUCAUACCACAAUGCUGUUUAUAUAUUAACUUUUCGACGAUAGUCCCUUUUCGGGUUGAACUAACGUCUAGAACUUGAAGUUUCACUCACUCGCAGCUAGACAAUGGACGAGACCUUGAAUUGCUAGCUUUCUGCGACUAAGUUUCCCUUCAAGACUUUGCUAAUACUGGGCCGCCAAGAACUAGGCCUCUGGUUAGAGCUUUAACGGUCAUGCUCCUGUGUCUAUUCGUGAGCUUUAUAGAGAGUUCCCAAGUCUCAUAGACUACGACCUCAUAGUCAGGCUCAUAUAGGUGUGCCUUUUCGAGUGUACCCCGUAGGACAGUACCUCGCCUUUGUAAAGGACCUCAAAGCACAUUAAGACGUAAGUCAUCCUACCAUACAGUAUGAGAGUACCGUAUCUCCAACGGGAAUGGGUUUUAGAAUUGCACUCUCCAAUUACACCGACAACUUGUUUUUCCCAUUACCUACUUCACGGGAUCUCCGAUCACAUAGGAUGGGUUACCGCUGCAGUGUAACUCACAUGGGUCUCAUUCCCAUUUCCCUUGAUGCAUUUUCAAUCAUGUUUCGUGAUAAACCCUUAGUAAAGGGACCUGCCAGAUUUUUCGAGGUGUGGACAUAGUCCACAACGAUUACUCCGGAGUUUCUUAAUUUUCUGACGGAUUUCAGGCGUCGUUUCACAUGCCUUCUGGAUUUCAUAUUGUCCUUUGUACUUUUAACCUUUGUGGGAACUGUUUGGUUAUCACAGUACAUGAGGAAAGCCGGAAUAGGCUUCUCGCCUACUGGUAAAUCCAUUAAGAGCUCACGUAGCCACUCCGCCUCAACAGUGGCCGUGUCAAGUGCUACUAAUUCUGCCUCCAUGGUUGAUCUUGUUAUAAUAGUUUGUUUACAAGAUCUCCAUGAGACAGCAGCACCACCAAGGGUGAAUAAAUAUCCACUUGUGGCUUUGAUCUCAUCCGCGUCUGAGAUCCAGUUAGAGUCACUAUACCCUUCAAGUACCGCUGGGUACCCAGUAUAGUGAAUCCCAUAAGACAUGGUUCCCUUCAAGUAUCUCAAUACACGCUCAAGUGUUGUCCAAUGAUCAUUUCCCGAUUAGAAGUAAACCGGCUUAAUUUACUAACAGCAUAUGAGAUAUCGGGUCUAGUGGCACUAGCCAGAUACAUAAGAGAUCCUAUAAUUUGGGAGUAUCUCAAUUGAUCCUUCCCUUGUCCAUCAUGCUUUCUAAGCUUUAGACUAGGGUCAUAAGGUGUGGGAGCCUCUUUGCAAUCCAUAAACCCAAAGCGGGUUAGGACUUUAUGUUGAAAAUAUGCCCUAGAGGCAAUAAUAAAUUGAUUAUUAUUAUAUUUCCUUGUUCAUGAUAAUCGUUUAUUAUCCAUGCUAGAAUUGUAUUGAUAGGAAACUCAGAUACAUGUGUGGAUACAUAGACAACACCAUGUCCCUAGUAAGCCUCUAGUUGACUAGCUCGUUGAUCAAUAGAUGGUUACGGUUUCCUGACCAUGGACAUUGGAUGUCAUUGAUAACGGGAUCACAUCAUUAGGAGAAUGAUGUGAUGGACAAGACCCAAUCCUAAGCCUAGCACAAGAUCAUGUAGUUCGUAUGCUAAAGUUUUUCUAAUGUCAAGUAUCAUUUCCUUAGACCACGAGAUUGUGCAACUCCCGGAUACCGUAGGAGUGCUUUGGGUGUGCCAAACGUCACAACGUAACUGGGUGGCUAUAAAGGUACACUACGGGUAUCUCUGAAAGUGUCUGUUGGGUUGGCACGAAUCGAGAUUGGGAUUUUGUCACUCCGUGUAAACGGAGAGGUAUCUCUGGGCCCACUCGGUAGGACAUCAUCAUAAUGUGCACAAUGUGACCAAGGGGUUGAUCACGGGAUGAUGUGUUACGGAACGAGUAAAGAGACUUGCCGGUAACGAGAUUGAACAAGGUAUUGGUAUACCGACGAUCGAAUCUCGGGCAAGUACCAUACCGCUAGACAAAGGGAAUUGUAUACGGGAUUGAUUGAGUCCUUGACAUCGUGGUUCAUCCGAUGAGAUCAUCGUGGAACAUGUGGGAGCCAAGAUGGGUAUCCAGAUCCCGCUGUUGGUUAUUGACCGGAGAACGUCUCGGUCAUGUCUGCAUAUCUCCCGAACCCGUAGGGUCUACACACUUAAGGUUCGAUGACGCUAGGGUUAUAAAGGAAGCUUGUAUGUGGUUACCGAAUGUUGUUCGGAGUCCCGGAUGAGAUCCCGAACGUCACGAGGAGUUCCGGAAUGGUCCGGAGGUAAAGAUUUAUAUAUAGGAAGUCCUGUUUCGGCCAUCGGGACAAGUUUCGGGGUCAUCGGUAUUGUACCGGGACCACCGAAAGGGUCCCGGGGGCCCACCGGGUGGGGCCACCUGCCCCGGGGGGCCACAUGGGCUGUAGGGGGUGCGCCUUGGCCUACAUGGGCCAAGGGCACCAGCCCCUAGAGGCCCAUGCGCCAAGAUAUAGGAAAAAGGGAAGAGUCCUCAAGGGGGAAGGCACCUCCGAGGUGCCUUGGGGAGGAUGGACUCCUCCCCCCNNNNNNNNNNNNNNNNNNNNNNNNNNNNNNNNNNNNNNNNNNNNNNNNNNNNNNNNNNNNNNNNNNNNNNNNNNNNNNNNNNNNNNNNNNNNNNNNNNNNNNNNNNNNNNNNNNNNNNNNNNNNNNNNNNNNNNNNNNNNNNNNNNNNNNNNNNNNNNNNNNNNNNNNNNNNNNNNNNNNNNNNNNNNNNNNNNNNNNNNNNNNNNNGCGCCUCCCCCCUCUCCCCUGCCCCUAUAUAUAGUGGAGGGGAGGGAGGGCAUCCAUACCUGAGCCCUUGGCGCCUCCCUCCCUCCCGUGACACCUCCUCCUCUCCCGUAGGUGCUUGGCGAAGCCCUGCAGGAUUGCCACGCUCCUCCAUCACCACCACGCCGUUGUGCUGCUGCUGGAUGGAGUCUUCCUCAACCUCUCCCACUCUCCUUACUGGAUCAAGGCGUGGGAGACAUCGUCGAGUUGUACGUGUGUUGAACGCGGAGGUGCCGUCCGUUCGGCACUAGGAUCAUCGGUGAUCUGAAUCACGACGAGUACGACUCCAUCAACCCCGUUCACUUGAACGCUUCCGCUUAGCGAUCUACAAGGGUAUGUAGAUGCACUCUCCUUUCUACUCGUUGCUGGUCUCUCCAUAGAUAGAUCUUGGUGAUACGUAGGAAAUUUUUUGAAUUUCUGCUACGUUCCCCAACACUUUAUCCACAUAAUGAGACUGCGUAAGAGCAAUCCCAUUCUCACCCUUGAUCAAUUUAAUGUUUAGAAUUACAUCAGCCUCUCCCAAAUCCUUCAUGUCAAAACACUGGGAUAAAAAUGACUUUAAGUCUUUUACAACAGCAAUGCUUGUUCCAAAGAUGAGUAUAUCAUCAACAUACAAGCAUAAAAUCACACCCUCACCCCCACCAAAUCUGUAGUAAACACAUUUAUCGGCUUCAUUUACAACAAAGCCUGUGGAUGUAAAGGUUUUUUCAAACUUCUCGUGCCAUUGCUUUGGCGCUUGCUUGAGGCCAUACAAAGAUUUCAUCAACUUACACACCUUGCCUUCUUGUCCGGGUACUACAAAACCAUCGGGCUGCUCCAUAUAGAUCUCCUCAUCUAGCUCGCCAUUAAGGAAAGCCGUCUUCACAUCCAUUUGAUGAACGUGGAAACCAUAUGAGGCAGCCAAUGACAACAGCACCCGGAUAGUGGUUAAUCUCGCAACGGGUGAGUAAGUGUCAAAGAAAUCCUCGCCUUCUUUUUGGGUAUACCCCUUUGCCACAAGCCUUGCCUUGUACUUUUCAAUAGUACCGUCGGGCCUAAGCUUUUUCUUAAAGAUCCAUUUACAUCCAAUUGGUUUGCAACCAAAUGGACGGUCAGUGAUCUCCCAAGUCCCAUUUGCAAUGAUGGAAUCCAUCUCGCUAUGGACUGCAUCCUUCCAGUACUCUGCAUCAGAAGAUGCAUAUGCCUCUGAAAUGGACUUUGGCACAUCAUCCACGAGAUACACAAUGAAGUCAUCACCAAAGGAUUUUUCAAUCCUUGGUCUCUUACUCCUUCGUGGAGCCACUUCACUAUCAUUCUCCACAUGCGUGUGUUCACAAUUUUCAUGAGUGGGUAGUUCCAGAGUUGGAUUAAAGUUUGCUUGACUAGAUGAUGCUCCUGUAUUCAUCAUGGGAAAUAUGUCCUCGAAAAAUGUAGCAUCUUUAGAUUCUGUCACCAUGUUUACCGGCACAUCCGGUACAUCGGAUCUAACUACUAAAAAUCUAUAAGCAACACUAUUAUGUGCAUAACCAAGAAAGACACAAUCAACCGUCUUAGGUCCGAGUUUGCGUUUCUUGGUUAUCGGUAUAUUGACUUUCGCCAAGCAUCCCCAAGCGCGCAAAUACGAGAGAUUAGGUUUCCUUUUUCCCCAUCCUUCAUAUGGAGUCACCUCACUAUUUUUAGUGGGAACCCGGUUAAGGAUAUGACAAGCGGUCAAGACAGCCUCACCCCACCAUGCCUUAGACAUACCUGCACUAUUUAACAUGGCAUUCACCAAGUCCGUUAGAGUGCGGUUCUUUCUUUCGGCAACCCCGUUUGAUUGGGGCGUGUAGGGCGGUGUCACUUCAUGGAUUAUUCCAUGCUCCGCACAAAAUUGGGAAAAUUCACUUGAAACAUAUUCUCCACCUCGAUCGGACCUUAGACGUUUAAUUCUUCCAUUUAAUUGGUUCUCGACCUCUGCCUUGUAGAUUUUAAAAUAGUUCAAUGCUUCAUCUUUAGUUUUAAGUAAGUACAGGUAGCAAAAUCUAGUUGCGUCAUCAAUAAAAGAUAAAAAGUAUCUUUUCCCUGCCUUAGUCAGCACUCCACCCAUCUCACAGAGAUCGGAAUGAACUAGUUCUAGUGGUGCCGUACUUCUUUCCUCGACCGCCAAAAAAGGCUUCCGAGGUUGCUUUGCUUGCACACAUAUCUGGCACCUAGAACCUCUGACUACGGAAAAUUUAGGAAUUAAAUUCAGGUUGCUCAUGCGGGAAAUACUACCAAGAUUAACAUGACAUAAUCUGGAAUGCCAAAUGGAUGCAUCUUUAUUUGAAUUAAGAACACUAAUAGUGUUGUGAACAAAUUUAUUCUCAGCAUCCAACAAAGAUGUGCGGAACAAGCCUCCACACUCAUAGCCUUUCCCUAUAAAUAAACCAAAUUUGGAAAUAACAACUUUAUUCGACUCAAAAACUAAUUUGAAGCCAUCUCGGCAUAAAAGAGAGCCACUAAUCAGGUUCCUAUUUAUUGAGGGCACGUACUGCACAUUCUUUAAGGUAAUGAUUUUUCCUGAUGUAAACUUCAGGUCAACCUUCCCUACUCCCAGAACAGCAGCACCUGAGCCAUUUCCCAUCAAGAUGGGGGAACCGCUUGUAGCCUGACAAGAGGAAAAUAAAUUAAGGUCAGCACAUACAUGAAUGUUAGCUCCCGUGUCAACCAGCCAUUCAGCGGAUUGACACGCCAUUAAAACAGCAGGGUUCGAAUCAUACCCCGCAGUACUAGGCUCGCUAACAACCACGUUGACAGUGUUCUAUCUGUUCUGCUGCCCACCCUUCUUGCCCUUCCUGUUGUGGCAUUUAUUGGCCUUGUGGCCAGGCUCACCACACACAUAGCAGAUUAUGCCUUCCUUCUUCUUCUUAAAGUUGGUUGUAUUCUUGGCCUUUGGAUUCUGUUGUUUGCCCUUGUACUUAGCACCAGAUUUCUGCACAAAGUUGGCGUUUGAGGUGCCAUCAUUUGCCAUGAAAGGUGUGUCUUUAGCACGUGCCUUCUCUUCCACAUCAAGGUGAGCAAUCAGGUCAUCAACCCUCAUUGCCUCCCUCUUGUGCUUAAGCAUGGUGGCAAAAUCUCUCCAUGAAGGAGGGAGUUUGGCAAUGAUGCCCCCACCACAAACUUGGCAUUGACGUUCACAUCAAACUGAGCCAACUCACUCACAAUCGAUGUAAGAUCAUGAGCUUGCUUGACGACGGAGACGCCGUCCACCAUGCGGAAAUCGUGGUACUGUUCAACCACAUAAAUCCAUCGCCCUGCAUCAGAGACCGCGUACUUGCGAUCCAGCGCCUCCCAAAGCUCUAUUGCAGAGGUGUACCCAUGGUAUACAUCAUAGAGCUGGUUCUCAAGGAGCGACAAGAUGACAGCCACAACAGUGUCGUUUGCUAACUCAAAGUCCAUUACCUGCUGACGAGUCAGCGGCCUAACCUGUGGGAUAAUCCACCACAGGCCCUUGGACAGGAGGUAGUGACGCACCUUGGACUGCCAUCUCUUGAAGUUGUCACCGGCAAACUUUUCAGGUUUCAUCAGUUCCGCAACAUGAGCAUCCAUGACAAAUCGGUCUAGAGUUUUCUGGAUUGUUGGACACAAUACAUAAUUUGUCAUUAAUUUAAUUCCUUUACCUGGUACGUACAAGAGCAGGUUAAACAGGCAAAUGGUUUUCUUCAUAAGCAUGCAGUAUAGAUUCACAAAGGAGCAGAUUGAUAGCACCCAUCCUUGUAUAAUUAGCAUGCAAAGGAAAACAUCACGAAACCAGCGAGAACCAUCUACAAUACUAGUGACGGCAGAGUAGCAAUACAGACAAAUUAACAUAAAGAUACUGAAUCUACCGAACACACACGACAUGGCUGAAAACACUAGCAGCAGGAACAAAAAGACAGUCUAAAGCACUAGAUAAACCUGAUGGAGAAUCGGCUAGAGCAUGGACAGAUUUAUCUUGUACUAGUAAUGAUCAAAUGCAACUUACAGUCUAGACGUCGGUGCACUUGGUGUUCGUGGAUGGAGUUUGUCGGAGACGAUCUCGUAGAGGAAGCAGCGGUGGCGGAGACGAUGUCGACGAGGACGUCGAGGAAGCAGUGGUCGCCGGAGACGAUGUUGUCGAGGACGUCGACGAAGCAGCCCUCGCCGGAGAUGAUGAUGUCGAGGACGUCGAAGGAGCGGUCGCGCGGACGCUGCCCAGAAAACUCUAGACCGCCCCCGUGCAGGGUCGAAGAAUGCGGCCGGAGUCACGGAGACACCGCUCGCCGGGCUGCCGUUGCACGACGGACAGCACGGCCGGCUUCGUUCCGACGGCGGCUCAGCACUUGUGAUAUGUGAGGAAGGAGAUGAAGAUGUGUUGUCUAUUUCUCCCGAUGCUCUCUACUAUUUAUAGAGAUCAGGAAGGAAGCAGUCCAACGAGCAACGUUUCAAUGAAACGUCUUGCCGAGCGAAGCGCGGUGCACUCGUUGGAACCAGGAGAAUCGGGAGGAACAGCAGGAUAAUGCUCACGUUCUAGCAGAGGACUCGGGAAGGAGUUGCAGCUUGCCGAACGGCCAGCAACGUGUGUGCAUGAAGUUUCAGUUUGUUACGUGACAGGAUAUGCCCAAAGCAUCAGACUUGGAAUUCUCUGAACCGAUGCAUUAUUUCCAACAGCACGCCCCUGCAGCGUGGCUGGACUUGAGCAAUUGCCCGAGGAUCAUGCGCCAUGGCCAGUCUUUUGGCCUGCCGCGGGGUGAAGAGGAGCAGAGGCACGUAGUUCCCAUUCCUUUUAUCCAUGCAUGUAGACGUAGGAGAAGACGGAGAGAAGAGCAGCGGCGUUUUUUGGCUGCACACUUUCAUCUUUCCUCUCCUCUGGCCGGCGAAGCAUUCCUUUUCUUUUGCGCAUAUGGCUCGUCUGUCUUCCUUCCCACAGACAAGUCGAUCAGCAGCAACUUGUUUUCGAUAGUCCCUAGGGUAGAGGAUAGACCGGUGGCACCUCGGACACGACCUUGCACGCACAUCACGUACCACUAUCACUGUUGGGCGCACAAUCGACGGGCAUGGGCAGACGCCUACAUCCACAUGCAUACAAGCGCGUGCACAUACGCAGUUGCUUGAAUCAACCAGCAGACAUGGACACAUGGCUACGAGCACGAGAUUGGCUACAGCCUACGGCCAGAGGUCUUGAUAAGUCAGGUGCAAAAAAGGUCAAAGCCAGUAAAUGUGACGCAUGCCGCUGCAGCAGGGCUGGACCAAGGCGAGUGGGCAGCCUUCGAGACGAAGAUAUUGCUAGCAAUAGCAUUGCCGUCCUUGGACCCGCGGUCGUCGGCUGGACACUUCCGAGACUGAGCAUCAUGUGCCAUUGGCCAGGCUUUCGUCCGUCCAUGACGUUUGGACGGCGGGGCCAUUAUUCAGGCUCCGGAACUGCUCCCCACCUCACCAUUGUCUCUGCUCUCAGAAGUUCAUGUCUCGUGUGUCUCCGCUUCCUCACCGACCCCCUCUAUUCCUUCAACGCUCAGCACUGCCAACCAACACGCUGCAUGGAUCGAAGGGGAAUUUCUGGUGAGCUCCUAUAUUUUAAAUCGAUUUAAAUGCUCCAAAAAUAUCUUAUUGUUUCUUGAUUUUCAUAAAAGAUGUGUCUUUCAUCCUAACACUUGUAUCCAAAUUUGAAUUACAUGUCAAGAAAAACAAGAGCCAAAUCCAAAUGUUAGUAGUGUCGUUUUUUAGAACGGAGACGCGAGAAGCAUCCGACUUUAAAUUAAUAAAGUCCAUCAACAGACAUCAUUCAAGUUUGAGACACACUUAACAAAGCGCACACACGGCCGAGCCCCAAGUCAUAAUACAUGCAACCAGCAAAAGCCUGAAAUAAAAGUUUGAUAGUCUAAACAGCCAUCGAGAAGGAGUCCAGCUCCCGCAAAACAACCAUGGGGAUCAAUGUCGAGCAGCAAUCUGAAUGGCCAGGAUCUUCUCCAUGGCUUCUUCCAUCCGCUCAGUGUCCCGCCGUUUCCCCAACGGCAUCUAGGUCUGGAGGAACAAAUGGGAUUUGAAAAUAAUGUCAGCAGGAUGGGAAGGCAACUUGUGUUCAAUAGUAAUCUUCUUACGCAUGGUUCACAGAGACCACAACGGCGCCCCUACGCAACGCCAAAGGAUCCUUGCGAAACCACCCUCGUGGACGACGCCCAAUCAUUCUACCAUGUGAGCAUCUCCGAGAGACUGAGCCGGCUCAUCAUUUAAGAUUAACAAGUCGUCACGAACGUCUUUACGAUCGACGCGAAUGUCUCCUAGUAAAUGUACAUCGUCGAAAGAUCAAAAAUGAAUCCAAAAAAAAUACAAAAUCAGUGUCAAGUCUAAGAACUCAACUAUAAUAGACUAAGGAGUAAGGACAGCCUCCUAACCAUCUAACUACAUGUUGGUUCACAAUAUUUAAUUUUUUUGACAGUGCAAGCACAUGGAAUUCUCCUUUUCUUUCUCCAUGUGUGAAAUGAAUUUUGAUCUGAAGCUUGUAGGGGUCGCAGACGGAUGUCUUACGGCAUCCAUGAAAUGUUUCAAAAUUUCUGAAAUAUUUAAUUUGAUUUUUUAAUUCGGGAGGAUGGUGAUAAAUGAGAGCAUUGGAUACUCUCACCCUCUCAUGGAUCAGGACCAACACAUAAUUUACAUGUACGCCCGCACACAAGUCACAUGAAGCACCCAACACAAAUAGUACUUCCUCAAUUCCAAAUUACUCGUCGCAGAAAUGGAUGUAUCUAGAACUAAAAUACAUCUAGAUACAUCCAUACCUGCGACAAGUAAUUCGAAACGGAGGGAGUACAAUGGAGGAAAUACAAUGGAUGAUNNNNNNNNNNNNNNNNNNNNNNNNNNNNNNNNNNNNNNNNNNNNNNNNNNNNNNNNNNNNNNNNNNNNNNNNNNNNNNNNNNNNNNNNNNNNNNNNNNNNNNNNNNNNNNNNNNNNNNNNNNNNNNNNNNNNNNNNNNNNNNNNNNNNNNNNNNNNNNNNNNNNNNNNNNNNNNNNNNNNNNNNNNNNNNNNNNNNNNNNNNNNNNNNNNNNNNNNNNNNNNNNNNNNNNNNNNNNNNNNNNNNNNNNNNNNNNNNNNNNNNNNNNNNNNNNNNNNNNNNNNNNNNNNNNNNNNNNNNNNNNNNNNNNNNNNNNNNNNNNNNNNNNNNNNNNNNAAGCACACUUCGCUUUCGUAGACGAUACUCAAGGAGUAUUCAAAAACUUUAUGCAUGUGUCAUCCUUUUUAGAAAGGGAAAACAAACAUCCUUCGUCCAAGGAAUACAUAUGUUACUUUGUCCCUUACUCCCUCAUUUGAGUAAAGCAUUUUGGGAAAAUGUCCACGGUUAAAAAAUAAGAUUGUCAAUUGAUGCAUAGACUGACGCUUUAAAAUGAGAGUGGUAAGCUAAAUGUUGAAUUCUUUGUCAAUUGAUGCAUAGACUGACGCUUUAAAAUGAGAGUGGUAAGCUAAAUGUUGAAUUCUGUGACUCUUUUCUCCUCUGAAAAUCCAAGUGGAGUCCAAGUAGUGGCAAACUGGAACGAAAGUGUCAUUCCGCUAGCAAGCUCAAAUGCUCCCUCCUGAAUAGUAAAAUCAAACCAAAUAAUAAUUAUAUUAAAAAUUCUAUGUUUUCUGUCCAAAACAUUGACGAAUUUUCUACAUACAUGCAAAUUUCCGUGAAGAAUUUUUUGGUUGUGCUCUGGAAAACAACCAUUUCUUCAAAAUGCUUGAAAAAAAGUGUUUUUGGAGCAUUGACUUUUUUCCAGAGGAUUUAGGAAUGUCUAUGUAGACAGUUCAUGAAUGUUUGUUGACAAAACAUAUCAGGUGUGCUAUAUUUGUCACUAUUUUUACUGUUUAUAAGGUAGCAUUUGAAUUCGCAAGUAGAAGCUCCAUGUCCCAAACUUGAAUCCUUCUUUUCUUUUCCCUUCAUUGUUAGUGUCAAUUCAAAAGACGAAUUGAGACGGCGGAAUUAUCAUAAGCUUUCUUAAACUGCCAGAGAUGACAAUUGGUAGGUUUUCUUAGUUUAUGGAAAGAUAUUGAGAAAUUUGAAUGGUGAUACCGCUUAAGCACUCCAGAGGUCACUGAAUCUUAGAUAACGAGUCUCGUAUAGCAAGGAAACGGAUCACUCGAUCACAGAGUGGCGAAGCAAGGAAAAGAUCCGCGGUGCGCCCCAUGUCCUCCGUGUCGCUCUCCUGCUACCCUUCCACCGCUCGAAACUCUUCUGGCGCUCAGUGCUCCUGGACUACCUCUGCCGCACCUUCAGCUGCUUCUGCAGCGCGGCGAUCUCCGCGUCCCGCGCCAACAGCUUCUCUUCCAGCUCCAGAGCGUAGUCCAAUGAGAACGACAUGUAAUUCGCCGCCUGCGCGCAAAUAAUGUUAACGGCCGGACUCCAGACAUGAUCCUGAUUCCUGCGAGUGAAGAGCUUGAACUUGACACAGCGUUCUCUGGCAUACCUGGAGAAUCGCUACGUAGCUCGACGCGACGACAUCUGAUGGCUCGUUGGCCGCAAACACACGCUGCUGCGGUGGGGCGACGGCAUCCUGCAACAGCUCCCGUGCAGCCUCCCAAUGUGCUCCGUGUCUGUCGGCGAAGUCUUGUGGCUGCCGCGAGACUCCCGGCAGUGGCGAGCACACGCUGGUGGGCACCGAGUAGCCACGGGCGGCAGGUGGAGCGUCAGAAGAAGGCGGACGACCCUCCUCGUCGUUGGCCUCGUCCAGGCUCCCUUUCUUCCCGCACAACGGCAACGACCCUGGCUCGGUUUUCACCUUCUUUGCCGAUGCCGACGCUUGCCGGGCCAUCUUCUCCGCCAGCAUGGUUUUCAUCAUGUCGUAGACGGCGGAAUCUAUCCCUAAAUAACAAGAGUAAGAGUAAGAUCAGCCGCUGCACGCAACUUGGGGAUGAGGGGGAUUUCAGCGUUUACCUUGAGAGCUGGCACUUGUACGAGCAGUUACAACGGCAGCGGCAAGGUUGCUGCAGUUACAACGGCAGCGGCAAGGUUGCUGUCGCACAAACACGUCCUGAUAUCAACGGCGGCGCCACCGUUAGCACCUAACAGCUUCGCCACGGAUUUCUGCUCCUCGUUUGUAAGCACCGGGUCCUCGAAGGAGCACUUGGACGGCUCGGCCCACUCCACGGGACAGGGCCACGGGGUCGGCGAGGAGAGGAAGAAGAACCCGCGCUUCCAGCCGCAGAUGGAAUCCGGCAACCCCGUGAAGCGCAAGCCGGAGUUGUCCUUGAACCUGGGUUGGAAGUAGUACCAUCUUUUCUUGCGUCUGUGUUGGCGCAGCCCUAGCUAGCCCUCUCUCACAGCUGGACAGAGGUAGAAGAAAGAAGAACGAGUAGGACACAGCAGGAUUUUGCCCGGCGCACGAACGCCGCCGGCCGCACGAACGGCCACUUAGUUUUAUUUCCUGAGCACAAACUCAACUACUAAACACCAUCUGCCGAUACACAGAGGCUAGCGAGCCUUUAUACGUGCGCUCGUACGCACGCCACGCCGCUCUAUACGGCGCUCCCAGUCGCCCACAUCCCACGUCCCACGCCAUACAUGGCCUGCGCUCCCGUCGCGCCCGUACGCGGACGACGCGGCCACCAACAGCCCUGGACGCGUUCUCCUCCGGCUCCAUCGGCAACAAGCUCACACACGCGCACGUACACGUGCUGCUACACACACUCACGCAGCUACGGCCCUGACUAUGCCCGGCUCGUCUGGCACCCGCACGUACGCGCGCCCGACACGCCUUGGCCGAGCCACAGUUUAUUCGUCUAACAGCCUGUGGUUGAGGACGGACAGCACGAAGAAACGCCGGAACACCGCGAGCGACGGCGGCACGCCGGCGGAGCGGCAGAGCACGAGGAAGCCCGCCAUGAUGCGCCACGUGUUGGGCGCGAGCUGCGUCCGCGCGAUGCCGAAGUGGGCGAGCGCCUCGCAGAAGAAGGGGUGCAGCGGGACGCGCAUCCCGGCCUCCAGCGCGUGCGCGUACACGCAGACGCACCCCGGCGGCGGGGGCGAGCACGCGCGCAGAUCGCCGGCGGGGCGCGCGGUGUAGUGGUCCCUCGGGAUGCCGUAUUUCUUGCACACGGCGUCGACGUCGUCCGGCGAGCGCAUGGACGAGACGAAGCCCUCGGCGUCGGGGCGCUUAGGUAGGACGGCGGUAGCGGCGUCAUCGUCGAGGUCAGAGGUGGCGACCUGGUAGUCCGGGUCGGAGGAAGGGGAGGAAGAACUCAUGGGCGCGAGGGUGUUGGUCUCUGUCUUUCAUUGCCUGCUGUUGGAGUACAGCAGAGAUAUGAGCAGGCUGGUGGACUACUUUGAAGGGUCGGUGUAAAGUCGAUUUAAAGGCUGAUAUUGUGAUUACUGGACGAUAUUCACUGCAUCACAAACAAAAAUUGCUCGAUAUUACUGUGCGUACGAUAAUUCGGUGUAUUUUUUUCUGCAUAUGGCACUUUGAUUAUCAUGCAUGGUGCUACGGCGCAUAUGGCAUCUCUGGAAUGAACUCUCUCAUGGAAAAUCUGUAGUGUCAAGUUCUUUUCUGAGCAGCUACUAUAGCACGUUCUGCCAAAUCUCAUCAAGCGUAGAAGAGAUUAUCAAAGGGAAAUCCCAUAUGGUUUUGGAGCAGCAGCGAAACAUUUCUGUCCUUAUGCCAUUGCGUUUGCAACUGGGAAUCGGCCUCCCAUGUCAAAAAUUCCGCCGGUGAUGCCUUAGGAGGCGCUAUUUUUGCUCGAAAAACGCUUUUGCGGAGCCGAACAGCUGAAGAUGCUCUUGGGACACGCUCGGGUCGAUCACGAUGUCGUGUCAUGAUAAAGUCAUGCGCUCUUUAACUUUUGUACACUCGGCAAAGUAUUCCUUUUCUUUUGUUUCGCACAUGACUCGUCGGUCUCUCUUCCCACAGACAGCUCGCACGGGCAGCUUGAUCAGCAACAAAUCUUUUUCCCUUCAACUUGUUCUCUUUUUUUUUCGAAACGGAGGCAAAAGAUUUGCCUCAUCCAUUAAUUAAGAAGAAGUUUAGAGUUGCUUUUACAACAGAAAAGCAAGAUAAGAUACAUAGAUUCUACUCUCGCGGCAUGAUGUUUCCCAAGUGUUUCGCGCCGGCGGCGAUCCAAAGCCUAGCCUCAUUCUUGAUGCUACCAAAGAUGAUGGAUGGUAGCGUCGGUUUUUGUUGGAACACCCUAGCAUUUCGCUCACACCAAAUAGUCCAGCAAGACAACAUGGUGAGGGUUGCCAUUGCCUUCCGAUUUGCCACGUUUUUCUCGGACAUGUUGAUCCACCAAUCCUUGAUGGAGCGCUCUUCAUUCCAGCGAGAAGUGUCCAUGCCGUCUAGCCCAAGCCAGUCCUUGAUCAUGCCCCAAAGUCUCCUAGUGAAACGACACUUGAAGAAGAGGUGAUCCACCGUUUCAUUAGUCUGCUUGCAAAGAGGACAUAAACCACAAUUUGGCCAAGCUCGCUUCUGGAGCCUAUCCGCCGUCCAAAGUCGGUUUUGAGUUGCAAGCCAUGCAAAAAAUUUGACUUUUGGGGGCGCCCAGACCUUUCAGAUCGUCUGCCCCGUGGGUGAUCGCGUGGCGCCAAGGAAUUGAGCCUUAUAUGCCGAGGUCACGGAGUGGUGACCACUUGUCGUAUGCUUCCAUAUAAUGUCAUCUUCGAUUCCGUCCACAAGGUGAAUAUACCGAGAGCGAGCCCAAAGAGUCACAAUUUGUGUAAUGUGCUCCAUUGUCCAGUCCAUGGGUAACCUAAUUUUUUCAAGCCAAGCAUCGCCAUGCAUGGCCUCUCGGACCUUCCACUUUUUUCUCGAGGAGAUAUCCAAAAUGAGCGGUGCCAAGUCCAAGGGCGCCACCCCAUUGAUCCAAGGUGAAUCCCAGAAAGGUGCACGGGCCCCAUUGCCAAUGAUGAUGUGUGAAGACGCGUAGAAGAGAGCCCGGUCCAUCUUGUCGCAAGGGUUGUCAAGGCCAACCCACAUCUUAGUUGGGUCCUUCCAUUCGAACCAUAGCCAUCUAAGUCGUAGCGCCCGCGCAAACUUGGUGAGGUCGAUGACACCAAGGCCCCCAAGGUCGGUUGGGCGGCAAACAUUGCGCCAAUUCACUUUACACUUGGCCCCGGUGGCCUUGUCCGUGCCCGCCCAAAGGAAAGCCCUCUGGAUCUUGUUAUAGUUAUGAAGUGUGCUGGCAGGAGGGUUGAGGGAGAUGAUGUGGUAGGUUAGCUGCGAAGUGAGGACUGACUUGACAAGAGCACAUCGCCCCAUGGUCGUAAUGUUCAGCCCAUCCCACGGCACAAGCCGUGUCGCCGCCUUAUCUUCAAGGAAUUGGAAGUCUCCUUUCCGAAGCUGCCAAACCGAAAGUGGUAGACCCAAAUAUUUGAUGGGGAAGGCAACCUUUCCGAAGCAGGCUAGCAAGAAUCGCAUCUAGAUCAAUAGCCACACAACGAAUUGGGACAACCGAGCUCUUCUGAAAGUUGGUGCAUAGGCCCGACACGUUGCCAAAGCAGGUGAGCACCUUUGAGAGAUUCUCAAUAUCUUCCUUGAUAGGGGCCAUGAAAACCGCCGCAUCAUCGGCGUAGAGGGAAGUGCGGAAUAUUGCCCUCCGUCCUCGAAUCUUAUGGAAGAGACCAUGGGUGGUUGCAAGGUUGAGAAUUUUCUGCAGCGGGUCAAUCGCGAUGACAAAUAGUAACGGUGAGAUAGGGUCCCCUGUCGAAGGCCGCAUGCAUGCAGGAUCGGAGGACCGACCACUCCGUUGAGCAAUAUCCUUGAGGAGGACGUAUGAAGCAAGGCGGUGAUCCAGUUACGAAACUUGGGUGGGCACCCUCUUCAACUUGUUCUCGAUAGUCCCUAGGGUAGAGCGGUGGCACCUCGGACACGACCUUGCACACGCAUCAAGUAUCACCGUUGGCCCUGGUGUCUGCACCGUCUAGAUGCAUACAAGCGCUGCUUGAAUCAACCAGCCUACCAGCACGAGCUGGGCUACAGGCUACGGCCAGAGGUCUUGAUCGGUCAGGUGCAAAAAAUAGGAAAAGCCAGUAAAUGCGACGCAUGCCGCUGCAGCCAGCCUUCGAGGCGAAGCUAUCGCAAGCAUUGCCGUCCUUUGGCCCGUGCCAGGCCUACGACACUCCCAGAGCGAGAGCCGAGAAUGCACGGAGGAUCAUGUGCCAUUGCCCAGGCUUUCGUCCGGGCAUGACGUUUGGAUGGCGGGGCAGCGUUCUAAAAAAUUCAUGUCUCGUGUGUCUUCGGUUCGUCACCGAGCCCCUCCGCCUUCAACGCUCCCACCCACGUCUCAUGAGAAGCACUGUCACUCUAUGGCCCUGUUUGGAUACUUUAACAUAGUUAGAAUUAGAGUUAUUUUCUAACCCACUCUAAUCCAAAUAAGCACCUCUCCACUGGGAUAGUUGGGUUAGAUGGAACUAACCCACUCUAAUCCUUCAUGUUUGGAUAUUUUUAGGUUAUUUAAGCCUCCAACUAACCCAAAUUAGCUCUAACCUCAUGAUCCAAACAGGGCCUAUAUUAGUGAACCAACACGCUGCAUGGAUCAAAGGGGAGUAUCUGGUGCGCUCGUUCAUAACAUGCUCCCAAGCUGAGCUCGUAUAUUUUAAAAAAUAUCGAUUUAAAUGUUUCAAAAACGUUUUAUUUUUGUGGAUUUUCGGAAAAGAUGUGUCUACGACACUAAAAAUCGUAUCUGAAUUUGAAUUACACGUCAAGAGAAAGGAGAGACAAAUCCAGAUGUUAGUAGUGUCGUUUUUUUGCUUUUCUAUUUUUGUGACACCAUUAGUGCUCGAUUUAUUUUUGAACAUAGUACAAGAUGCGGACGCUCAUAGAUAUGCUUAUACUCUCUUCGAUUGUUGAAGAGUGUACAUUUGAUUUUAAAAUUUAUCUACAAAAAAAGUGUAUUUCUAUCUUUCGAAUGCACUUUAAAGAAGAAAAAAUGUUUCUCUCUUAUUACACAGAAAUCAAGACCAAUAAUAUUCUACGCAUGGUCUCCUUAAUUUCCACAUGAAAUUAACUCAUUGGGGGUUGGAUAAUUAAAAAUGAAAGAGAUCGUGGCUUGCACAUUUCGAAUGCAUUUUUUUACUCCACUCCAUAAUUUGUUUAAAAAUUUCUACAUGUAACUUUUUUGCUGGACAAAGGGAGUACAUUCACCCUUAUGGAUGACGCACGCAAUCCUACCCCCUAUGAGCAUCUCCAAAAGACUAAGACGUCUCAUCAUUUUAAGAUUGACAAUGUCGUCAUAGAAGUCUUCGUAGUCGACAAGAACGUCUCCUUCCACUAAAUGUACAUUGUCGGAAGGGCAGGAAAAAAUUCAGGGAGAUGCUAGCACCAGUGUUAAGACAAGGACUUCAACUCUAAUGGAUCAGACAUCCCACUAUCCUCCUAACCUUCUAACUCAUGUUGGUUCGUAAUGUUGGAUUUUCUUGAGAGUGCUCACACUGGAGUUAUCUUUUUCUUUCUCCAUAUGUGAAAUGAAGUUUGAUCUGAAGUUUGUAGGGCUUGCAACAGAUGUCUUAUGACAUCCAUGAAAUGUUUCAGAAUUUUCUGAAAUAUUUAAAUUGUAUUUUUAAUGCGGGAGGAUGGUGGUUUUGAUGAAUGAGGGCAUUGGAUACUCACGCGCACGAGUUACAUGAAGCAAUCAACACAAGUACAAUGGAGGAAACACAAUGGAUGCCGUUGUGUGUGUGUGUGUGUGUGUGUGUGUGUGUGUGUGUGUGUGUGUGUGUGUGUGUGUGUGCGCGCGCGUGUGUGUGUGGGCGCGUGUGUGUGUGUGAAUUGACUAGUUAGUAAUACUUCCCUUUCGUCGGCGAUACUCAAGUAUUCAAAAACAUUGUGCAUGUGUCUUUUUUAGAUAAAGAAAGAACAUACUCUUUUAUUAAUACAUAUGUGACCUUGUCCCUUACUCCCUCAUUUUGAGUAAAGCAUUUUGGAAAAAAAUUCCAGGAUGAAAAAUAAGACUGUCAAUUGAGGCAUAGACCGACACUUUAAAAUGAUAGUAAGCUAAAUUUCAAAAUUUGAGACGCUUUUCUCCUCUGAAAUUCCAAGUAGUGGCAAACUGGAAUGAAAGUGUCUUUCUGCUGGCAAUGUCAAAUGCUCUCUUCUGAAUAGUAAAUCAGAAAUGAGUACUCUCUCCAUUCUUUUAUACAAGGCCACUUCAUAUUUUUAUAUCAAAUUUUGACCAUUAAUUUUAUCAACAAAAGUCAAGCUAUAUGCCACAAAAAAGUAUGUAAUUGGAUGCACAUUUCAAAAAACUUUCUAAUGAUAUAUUUUCUAUGACAUAUAAUCCAUAUUUUGUUGACAAUUUAUGAGUCAAAGUUUGAACGAGAAACGAAGUGGCCUUGUAUAAGGAAUGAAGGGAGUAAUAAAAUAAUAUUUAUUUUUUAUCCACAAACACUGGCGAUUUUUCUAAAUACAUGCAAAUUUUUGUGAAAAAAAGUUCUAAUGUUCUGGAAAAGGUCAUUGCUCUAAAAUGAUUUAAAAAGAGUCUUUCUGGAGAAUUGACUUUUUUCCGGAGCGUUUAGGACUAUUUUUCUUCACCAAAAUUUUCAUGUCUCUAGAUAAAUAAAGCGAGGGGCGACGCUUCGACAUCUAGCCAUAAGGCUGCUCCCAAUAGACCGGUACUUAGAUGGGGUGCUAAGCAUAUUAAAUAGCUUAGCAACCAAACUCCCCAAUGCAUAGGUGCUUAGCUUCUUGUAGCUAAGCUCCCUUCAUUUAAUGAUUUAACUACUAAACUCUCUCAUGCAUUGGUGAGUUUGCUUCAUUUAAAUAUUUUGCCUAAGUUCGCAUGCUUGGCAUUGGUUCUUCCUGAGGUUACCAAACCCAUCUCUCUCCUCUUAAUUACCUUGCCACAUCAGAUUUUUCGUCUACAUGACAUGCUUAGCAUCCAUACAAGGUGGAGCAUUGAGAGGGGCCUAGAGGGGCCAGCUCCACAAACGGCUCAAGGACCGAGAAAGAAUUGUUUUAAUAAAAGGACCACCCAUGGUGGGACCAAUGGCUAAACCACAGGGAAAGUGCUAGGGCUGCGACGACCACAUCCUUCCGAUGAGUGGGAACCGAUGAUAUGUUACGAGCCUGAAGCCGAGCUAAGACUGAUAAGAGUAACUCGCCUGUCGAGCCGGACACUUCAAGCCGAAGACAUUAGUCCGAGGAAGAUUGUUGUCCCCGGCUUCGAAGACAAGUUCAGGGGCUACUGACGGUGUCAUAGGCUAAGGAGUACCAAUUGAAAUGGCCCACAAUCCAUGGGCAGAGCUUACGGCCUGCAGAUCUCACAAGGAAAAACUCCGGAAGCUUCAAACUCAGACGUGAUCAAGAUGGACAUUGCCGAAGACUUGGCGUGUACUUCAAGGACUACUCCAGUUGUUGGCGUGUGUAUUCCUAAUUGGCAACCGACCACGUGUAACCCUAGAUACCCCUGGUGCCUAUAUAAACCAUGGAAUAUAGUCCACAGAGACACUAUCAAAAUUAUCAGCCUUAGAGUUUAGAACAUAACAUACAAUCUCAAUCUCAAGGUAGAUCAUCUUGUACUCGAUACUCCAUUAUCAAUACAAUCAAAGCAGGACGUAGGGUUUUACCCCUCAGAGAGGGCCCGAAUUUGGGUAAACAUCAUGUCCCUUAUCUCCUGUUACCCAUCGUUACUAGAUCCAUAGCUUGGGAUCCCCUACCCGAGAUCUGCCGGUUUUAGUACCGACAUGGCCGGUUCUUUUUGUACCUUUUUCUCUUGCUCUUUUUUUAGUUUCUUCCAUGCUUUCUCUAUUUUUUGUUUGGUUUUUUACUUCUGGUUUUUUCUUUAUUUCCUUUUUCCCUUUCCUUAAUACAUGGUGAACAUUUUAUUAAAAAAUGGUGAACAAUUCAUUAAUAUACAAUGAACAAUUGCUUAGUUGGUUCUUUAAUACACAAUGAACAAUUUGUUCAGGGUCAUCGUAAUGUUCACCGUAGAUUACAAAAAAGUUCAAUCCAUGUUUAUAGAAAAAAAAAC
rnacentral:lncRNA from 1 species